rnacentral:lncRNA from 1 species
UUUGGAACUUGGGCAAGGAUUUGAAAAUGGUGUUGAAAUCAUUUCCCGGCAGAUCAUUCAAAAACACUUGAAUUUCGGGCAAUUGACGCCCCAUUUUCUUCCCCACCUUGUCCACUGUAGUGACAACUUCCAAGACUGCAAAAAAAGUGUUGGGUCCAGAAGAACAGCCCAAGUCUGCGAUGCAUAGGCUGGCCGGGAAGUUGUUGCAGUAGAGAUUUGUUAUGGCGUCCUCGAUUAUAGGCUUUGUCAAGGAUAUUACUUUUUUCUGCACCAUUAAAGUGGGGAACUUGUCAUAAUUGAAAACUUUUCAUAAAAACGGCAGUAUAUUGUACCUGCAUGAUAAAAACACAAAACCUGGAAGUGGAUGGGUGCUACAGAUCAAUCAGCAUGUCUUGACUAUUCAUUCUUUAAUUUAAGAAAAGGAAACAGUUCGUAUAUAUAAUAUAUGCAUGUCAGCUGAUGCUUAAAUAUUGAAGAAAAUCAAGUUUAGCAAGAGACACACCUGAACUAAUGAGUUUUUUGCGUAACUGGUGUCCCCAUUUCCUCCCUUCAUGCAAAGCACUUGAGCUACUUCCAUCUCUUUCGUCCUACCUCUUCGCUGAUUGCUUCCUCUCAGUUGGAAUGUGGAUUAUGUUGAAGGAGAUGCUCCCCAUUUAUAGAACUUGGGCCACAUCGUCGUGGAAUGAAUUAUUUCAUCUUCUAGGGGCUCUGCUUCCACCGAACCCCAGUGACUCCUGGAAUUGGUGGACUAAUUAUUGUACUGAUCCCACGUGGUCGGCAGUCCUGAGGCCUGACAUCCACCAGAAGAUAGUACGCCACGUGGCAUACUGUCCAUCAAUGACUCGUUUAUCUCCGUUCAUCUCCGCGUGGGCCUAGGCUACCUAUUCAAGUAAUUAGGUCGGCAGCACUUUUGGAAACGGUUACCGGUUCUCAAUUAUUUUUUGAAACAAAAAAUAGAAGUACUUCAAAGGAAUGUGACAUUUUAUGUUUCACGUGAUCGAUGUAAUUCAUUUAUUUGCUUUUCCUAGAAACAUGAAGCGAUUGACAGAUUCCAAAAAUAAUGGUGGUCAUGAAACACGAUGAUGAAUGUAGGACAAGGUGGAGGUGGGUGCACAGGUUGGCCGCUGCCACCUUAGAACAAAUUGGUAUUAGUUAUCACCCACAAAAUAUCGGAGGUAGCCCUGCAGACGUUUGUUAGCUGACGUUUCCAUGCAUGACAGCCUCAUGUUAUUCUUCAAUCUAGUGACAGGUUUCGUCUCCUCUGAUCUUCUUUUUCAAAAUAAUCUGAGCCACACAAACCGAUGUCUGGAAUACAGUGAACUUUAUAAAAAAAGAAAAAAAAUGUAUUUAUAAUAUAUUUCAUGUCUUUAAAAAAUAUUAUUUCUAAAAUUUGAGAUAGUAAAAAUUUAAUAUAUUAUUUUUUUUAUAUAGAUUUUAAAAUUUAUUACUAAGAUAAAUCUCAAAGAACUCCUAUCUUUUACGUGGUCUAUAUUUUAAAAUAUAAAACAAUAAAUAACCUAGUACAACAAAUGAAAUAUGAAAAAUAAGAGUUCUAAUAUGAUUUAAUUUUUCAAUAUAAUCAUCAAAUAAAUAAAAAAAUUAAAAGAUUAUCUUAGAAGGUAAAAUCAAAACAAAGAUGAAAAGAUAAUAAUUUCAAGAAUAUAUGUAUUAAUUAAACUUAACAAAUAAAAAAUAUAACAUAUAAAACUAUAAAAAUUAUUUGAUUUUCAUAUAAAAGAUCAAGUCAAAACAAAUAAUAAUUCUUAUAAAAAUAAAAUUAUUAGAUGAGACUAUUGUCUAAGAAAAUAAUGUUCUUGAAAGGACCUACAAAGAAAAGAGUUAGAACUUAGGUUUAAUUAUUAUUAUUAUUAAUAAUAAAUAAAUGAAUAUGGAAAAACAAAAGUUUUUGUAUGAUUUAAUUUUUCUAUAUUAUUAUUAAAUAAAUAAAUAAAUUUAAAAAUUAUCCAAAAAGCAAAAUAAAAUAAGAAUAAUUUCAAGAAUAUAUAUAUAUAUGAGAAUUCUUGCAAAAAUUAAAAUUAAUACUAAAAAUUAUGAUGAGAACUUUUAACAUAAUAAAGUUCUUGAGAAGAUCAAUGGAGAGAACAGUUAUAAUUUACGGUUUCAUAAAAAAAAGUUAUAGAUAAUAUCUAUAGUUUAAUUAGUUAUAUAUUGAUAAUUUAUAUGCUCAUAUAAUAUUUUAUUUUUGUAAAGUUAAAAUUUUCGCUUACAUGACUGUAUGAUUUUAUAAAAUUUCUUUUUAUUUAAUAAAAGAUUAUAAAUUAAUGUGAUUUCAAGUGAUAAGUCCUCUUAUAUUAAAUAAAAUUAUUAUAGCCUCUUUGUAUUAAAAAGCUAAGGUUGUAUUUGGUUUCCAACAAGUAUUAAUGAAAACAAAAAUUAAAUGCUAAAAAAAUGAUUUUUUUGUUUAUUUGAUUGUUCUAUGGAAAAUAUAAAAGAAAAUCAAUUAUUGUUAAGAUUAAUUAGAAAUUUAUAUAUUUUCAAAUUAUUUAAUCUUUAUAUCGAAAAAAAUAAAAUAAGUGAAAUGGGUUUGAAAUAACAUAUAAAAAUAAUUUUUUAAUUUUAAAUUUAUUUUUAUUAAAAAAUAUGAGAAUUUAUCGGAUUAUGGGAACUUGUGGAUGAUCACCCAUAUUGAUGUCUUUUUAUGACUCCCUAUAAAAGGGAGAUACCUCUAAGGAAAAUUCAUUUUAUUCUUUUCCCACAUUCUAAUUUCUCUUUCUUGUUUUCUUUUUUCACUUUAUAAUUUUACAACACGUAGAAAGAUUUUUCUCUAUUCAGAGAAACAGAAAAACGUUCUCCUUUUCAAAAAAAUAGAAAGAUUCUUCUUUCUUCUUUCUCACAAAAAGGUAUGUAAUAAACUUAUAUUAUGAUUUUCAAUUUUGUUAACCUUUGAUCUCUAUUUUCAUUUAUUUUAUUUGAAUACAUAAAUAUGUAUAAUCCCUAUAACCAGAAGUUAUGCGGUAAAUUAUAAAUUAUGGGGUAAAUUCAUAACCAGAAGUUAUGAAAAAUGUGUGCAAUUCCUAUAACCAGAAGUUAUGGGGAAAAAUUACAGAAUUAUAGAUAUAUGACCAGAAGUUAUGUAUAUGAUCCCUAAUUAUUUAUUUGUAAUUAUUCGAUAUAACUGGAUGUUAUACCAAACAAUAUUAUAUAGCUAGAAGUUAUAAAAUAAAUAAAUAAAUAAAUGUUCAUAGCCUGAAGCUAUGUACAAAUUUACAUAAAAUAAUUCAUAACUUGAAGCUAUAUAUUACUUUGCACAUUUUUGUUAUGAUAAAAUAAUCAUAGCCCGAAACUAUGAAAGAAAAUAUAUAUAUAUUAAAUUUUUAUUUUUAUUUCAUAUUUAUACAUUUUUCCCAUAUUUAUAAUUGAUAGAUUUUAGGUCAUUAUAUUUUUAGAUAUUGUUUACUUGAAAUAUUGUUAAAGCAUUUUAUUAAUAGUUUAUUAUAAUAAUUGAAAUAUUUCUCUGAUUAAUAUUAUAUAUAGUUUUUAGAUAAUGUCAAACUUGUAAAGCUUGAAUUUGUUGCCCUCGAUAUUUCGGGCAAGAACUACUUAUCUUGGGUUCUGGAUGCUCAAAUUCAUCUAGAUGCGAUGAAUCUUGGAAAUACCAUUAAAGAAGGAAAUGACGCAUCUUUGCAGGAUCGCACCAGAGCUUUGAUAUUCCUUUGCCGUCACAUUGAUGAAGGAUUAAAAGGUGAAUACCUUAUGGUUAAAGAUCCUUUCAUCCUUUGGAAUAAUCUAAGGGAACGAUAUGACCACCAAAAGACCGUAAUUCUUCCAAAGGCACGCUAUGAUUGGAUGCACUUGAGAUUACAAGAUUUCAAGUUUGUUAGUGACUACAACUUGGCCUUAUUCAAAAUUAGCUCACAAUUAAAAUUGUGUGGAGAAAAGGUCAUUGAAGAAGAUAUGCUUGAAAAAAUAUUCAAAACUUUUCAUGCCUCGAAUGUGCUCCUGCAACAGUAAUAUCAAGAGCGUUGUUUCACUAAAUAUUCAGAAUUGAUCUCAUGUCUUCUUGCGGCUGAACAAAAUAAUGAGCUAUUAUUGAAAACCCAUCAAUCUCGUCCUAUUGGGUCUAUGUCAUUGCUUGAAGCCAAUGCCACAUGUAUUCAAACCCUUGGACAGGAACAAAGACGUGGAUAUGGACGAGGUUGAGGACGUGGUAAACACAAUUCUUCUCAUCGUAGUGGUUCUCAAAGUAAAAAAGAACAACUCAAAUCACCAAAAGUGGAAUAAUUCAGAGACACAACCUGAAAAGGGGAUAGAACCACAAAGUAAACAUGCUCGUGAGAAUAACUGUCAUAGAUGUGGCAUGAAAGGACAUUGGUCACGUACUUGUCAUACUCCAAAACAUUUUGUUGACCUUUAUCAAGCCUCAAUAAAAGUAAAAGGAAAGGAAGUUGAAAUGUACUUCAUUGAUAGUGAUGGCCCGGUAGAUCCAACCCAUUUAGAUGUUUCAGAUUUCUUUGAGAAUCCUAAUGGGAAAAUUGACCAUCUAAUUGGUGAUGGAAAUGUUUGUUAUAAUUAAAUGUUACGUUCUUAUUUAGUUCCUUGCAAAUAGGUUUAUUUUGUUAUCAUCUUUAAAUACAUUGUUUAUUAUUCAUCUUUUAUAGUCUAUUUCACAUUUUAUUAUUUCUUAUUUAAAUUAUUCUCUUUAUUUAUUCUUGAAGAUACAUGGAUCUUUCUCACACUUUGGUACAUCAUACGACAUCCAAUGUAAAUGCAUGUCUUACAGAUUGUGCCACAACACACACAAUCCUUCGUGAUAAAAAAUAUUUUUCCAACAUAUCAUUGGUUAAGUCUAAUGUUAAUACAAUAUUAGGUCUUGUAGACUUGAUUCAAGGCUUCGGAAGAGCAACUAUUAUUUCACCUAGAGGAACUAAAAUCCACAUUAAUGAUGCCCUUUAUUAUACUAAAUCCAAGCGAAAUCUUCUUAGUUUCAAGGAUAUUCGCCGAAAUGGAUAUCACAUUGAAACUAUGAAUGAUGAUAGUAAUGAAUACCUUCUUAUUACUUCAAUUAUUUCUGGGGAAAAACACCUCUUGAAAAAAGCUUCCUUCUUAUUCUUGUGGGUUAUAUCAAACAAUCAUUAGACCCAUUGAGUCAUAUGCUAUCAUGAACUAAAAGUUCUGUGACUUAAAAACUUCUUGGUCAUCCAGGAUUAUCCAUGAUGUGUCGUAUCAUCAACAAUUCUUUAGGGCAUCCCUUGAAGAACCAGAAUAUUAUGAUGCCCAAUGAUUACAAUUGCGUUGCUUGCUCACAAGGUAAAUUAAUUAUUAAACCAUCAUUUACGAAGGUUGAAUAUGAAUCACCAGCCUUUCUAGAACGCAUUCAAGGUGAUAUUUGUGGACUUAUUCAUCCACCUAGUGGACUUUUUCAUCAUUUUAUGGUUUUAAUUGAUGCAUCAACUCGUUGGUCUCAUGUUUGUUUUCUUUCAACUAGAAAUAUUGCCUUCACCAUAUUACUUGCUCAAAUAAUUUGACUCAAGGCACAAUUCCUUGAUAAUCCUAUUAAGAGGUACAAUUCCCUGAUAAUCCUAUUAAGAGAAUUUGUCUUGAUAAUGUUGGUGAAUUUUUCUCUCAAACAUUUCUUGAUUAUUGUAUGUCGGUUGGUAUUGAUGUUGAAUAUCCUGUUGCUUAUACCCAUACUCAGAAUGGAUUAGCUGAAUCUUAAUUAAGAGUUUGCAACUGAUUGCAAGACCAUUACUCUUAAGAACAAAAUUACUCUUGUCUGCUUGGGGGCAUGAUAUUCUUCAUGCUGUCACUUUAAUUCGAAUUCACCCUACAGCUAAUCACGAUUGCUCACCUUUACAACUUGCUUUAGGCUCCCAACCAAAUGUUUCACAUUUUCAUAUUUUUGGUUGUGAUGUCUAUGUUCCCAUAGCUCCACCUCAACGUUCCAAGUUAGGACCUCAACGUCGAAUUGGUAUAUAUGUUGGUUUUAAUUCUCCCUCCAUUAUCUGUUAUCUUGAACCAGCCACAGGUGAUGUUUUUACUGCCCACUUUGCAGAUUGUCAUUUUGAUGAAAAUGUUUUCACGCCAUUAGGGGGAGACAAGUCAAAAGAAUGGCGAGACAUUACAUGGUAUGUGCCCUCCUUGUCUCAUCUUGAUCCUUGCACAAGACAAUGUGAGUUAAAAAUUCAAAGGAUUGUUCAUUUGCAAGGACUUGCAAAUCAAUUACUUGAGGCUUUCACAGAUAUUAAGAAAAUAAUAAAGUCACAUGUGCCAGUUGUGAACGCCCCAACACAUAUUGAUGUCCCUGAAGGACAAAUGGAGAAUGCCAUAGCAAAUGAAUCUAAGACAUGCCUGAAGCAUGGUAGACCUAUUGGCUCAAAGGAUUUAAUUCCUAGAAAAAGAAAAGGAACAACAUAUGAAAAACUUAGUACUCCUGAAGAGUUCACUAAUAUGAAAGGGUCAAAUGAUGAAACCCAAUCUGACAAACAGUUAGCUCCUGAAGAGGUACAAAUUGAUCAAAUACCGGUAUCUAGAAUUGAAGAGAUCUCAAUGAGUCACACGAGAGAAACAAAGGACUGUAGCAAUAUUAUCAUAUAUAAUAUAUUCGCAUUCCAAGUGGCUAUGGACAUCAUGAGAAAUGAUGAAUAUCAAGAACCACAAGUUGUGAAUGAAUGUCGAAAAAUGAAUGAUUGGCCAAAACGGAAAGAAGCAAUCCAAACAGAGCUAAACUCGUUAACAAAACGAGAGGUAUUUGGACUUGUAGUUCAAACACCUGGAAACAUAAAGCCUAUUGGAUAUAAAUGGGUCUUUGUGAAAAAACGAAAUGAGAAUGAUGAAAUCAUAAGAUAUAAAGUACAACUUGUUGCUCAAGGUUUUUCUCAAAGACCUGGUAUAGACUAUGAGGAAACUAAUUCUCCUAUAAUGGAUGCAAUCACACUUCGAUACUUGAUAAAUUUAAUAGUCUCUGAAGGACUAGAUAUGCAUCUUAUGGAUGUUGUUACAACCUAUUUAUAUGGGUCUAUAGAUAUUGACAUAUAUAUGAAAAUCCUUAAAGGAUUCAAAUUGCCUAAAGCAACUAAUCCAAAACCUCGAAACAUGUACUCAAUCAGACUACAAAGAUCUUUGUACGGAUUAAAGCAAUCCAGACGUAUGUGGUAUAAUUGUUUGAGUGAGUAUUUGUUAAAAGAAUGAUAUGUGAAUAAUUCAAUUUGCCCAUGUGUUUUUAUCAAGAAAUCAAAAUUUGGGCUUACAAUAAUUGCAGUGUAUGUGGAUGAUUUAAACCUUAUAGGAACUCUUGAAGAGCUCACAAAAGCAGCCAAUUAUUUAAAGAAGGAAUUUGAAAUGAAAGACUUGGGGAAAACAAGAUAUUGCCUCGGCCUGCAAAUCGAGCAUUGUUCAAAUGGCAUAUUAGUCUAUCAAUCGAAAUAUACAGAGAAAGUAUUAAAACGAUUUUAUAUGGACAAAUCACAUUCAAUCAAUUCCCCUAUGGUUGUUCAUUUACUUGAAGUGAACAAAAGACCCAUUUCGUCUUAAAGAAGAAAAUGAAGAAUUGCUUGGUCCAGAAGUACCAUAUCUCAGUGCAAUCAGUGCACUAAUGUAUCUUGCAAAUUGUACUAGACCAGACAUAACAUUUUCUAUCAACUUACUAGCAAGAUACAAUUCUGCCCCAACUAAAAGGCAUUGGAAUGUGAUUAAACAUAUAUUACGAUACCUUCGUGGAACAAGUGACAUGAGUUUAUAUUAUUCAAAAGAAUCAAAAUCACAAUUGAUUGGGUAUGCAGAUGUAGGGUAUCUUUCAUAUCUUCAUAAAGCUUGAUCUCAAAUGGGAUAUGUCUUUACUUAUGGUGGGACGUUAAUAUCUUGGAGAUCAGUCAAGCAAACACUGGUAGCCACAUCUUCAAAUCAUUUAGAAAUUCUUGCAAUUCAUGAAGCAAGUCGUGAAUGCGUAUGACUAAGGUCAAUGAUCCAACAUAUACAAGAAACAUGUGGACUACUUUCCAUCAGAGGCAAUGCAUCUAUGUUACAUGAAGAUAAUGCUGCUUGUAUUGCACAAAUUAAAGGAGGAUUCAUAAAAGGUGACAGAACUAAGCAUAUCUCCCCUAAAUUAUUCUAUACUCAUAAGCUCCAAAAGAAAAAUGAGAUUGAUGUUCAACAAAUUUGAUUAUGCAAUAAUCUAGCAGAUCUAUUCACAAAGGCGUUACUUUCGACCACAUUGAAAAAGUUAAGGUAUGACAUUGGAAUGCAAAGACUAAGAGAUCUACCAUUUAAAAUGUUGAAGAAAUCAUAAUCAUGUUUACAUGAGAGGAAGAAUGCUAAUAUGGAUAUAUUGCACUAUUUUUUCCUUCGUCCAAGUUUUGUCCCAUUGGGUUUUACUGACAAGGUUUUUAAUGAGGCAGUUACCAUAUUCUUAUGAUCAUCCAAGGGGGAGUGUUAGGAAAUAUGAAAAUUUAUCGGAUUAUGGGAACUUGUGGAUUAUCAUCUAUAUUGAUGUAUAUCUCUUUGUGAUUCCUUGUAAAAGGGAGAUACCUCUAAUGAAAAUCCAUUCUAUUUUCUUCCUACAUUCUAAUUUUUCUUUCUUGUUUUCUUCUUUCACUUUAUAAUUUUACAACAAUUUUUUAUUUUCUUUACUUUUUCUUUUAAUCCACUAAAAACUCUCUAUUUUCUUUCUUUCACAUUUCCCACAAAAUUUUCGGUAACUAAACAUAGCCUAAGAAAAUCAUUCAUAUUAUUUUUAAAUAUUUUUAUUAUGCUACAUGUUGUUGCAAUUCUACUUUUUAAAUAAAAAUUAUUUUUGAAAGUGUUUAUAAGGUUUAGAGUAGAAAAUAAUUAUUUAACUUACAAAUAUAUUUGACAAUUAUUUAUUUAUUUAUUGAAAAUAGCUUUUUGAGAAAUAUUUGUUCUCAAAAUUGUGUGAUGUUUUAAAACAAAUUUAAAGUGUUUAUGAAUUGAUUAGAAAAAUAAUUGAAAAUAUGGAGAAGAUUUUGAAAAACAAAGAAUAAAGUGAGAAAAUUAAUAAUUUUUAUAUUUAGAAUAAGAACCUUCUUUAUUGGAACUCUUGGCAUUCUCCAAAUUAUUAAUUUGGGAGGUCUCUCCACUCUAUUUCAUCCAAAUUACCAACCCAUUCACUCAUUUAGAGUUUUUUCUUAUGUUAAAUUCAACGUCAUGUAUAAAUACUUGUAUUUGAAUUGUCCGAGUAUCAUAUAUGGCAACCUUUUUUCUUUCAACUACUAUAAAAUUAAUUUAACUUUUUAUGAAUAUGCUUAAAAUAUUGGCUUGAACACAAAACAGUGAUAUCUAAGGCAAAGCACAGAGCAGAGGAAGCCAUAACCAAUCUCUAUUGUAGCAUCUUGCCACAAUGCUUAGGCAUAGCUGAGUUGGGUUGUUCUUCUGGACCCAAUGCUCUUUUUGUCGUCCAAGAACUUGUGAUCACAACCUACAAAGUCUAUCAGAAACUAGGUCGUCAGUAGCCGGAAAUUCAAGUGUUCCUCAAUGAUCUUCCAGGAAAUGAUUUCAACACUCAUUAAAACCGUCACAAAAUUUCAACAAAAUUUGUCACAAGAGAUGGGCAAUGGUGUUAGACCAUGCUUUUCCAUGGGACUUCUGGGUUCUUUCUAUUACAAACAUUUCCUUAGCCGAAGUCUACAUUUUGCCCAUUCUUCUUACAGCCUGCAUUGGCUGUCUCAGGUGACCAAGUAUUUGUCCUUUUACAGCUACAAUAAUAUAUUGACAAAGAAGGAACCAUGAAAUUUAUUUGGAGUACAAUUGUUUAUUAGGUUCCUCCAGGUUUAGAGGACAAUAAAGGUAAUAUUUUCAUGUCAAGUUCAAGCCCACCAAGCGCACUUAAGGCUUACUAUGCACAGUUCCAAUAGGAUUUUUCGGUGUUCCUCAAGCAUCGCUCAGAGGAAAUAGUUGGAGGGCGUAUGGUCGUCACAAUCAUAUGGGGAGAAGAAGUGAAGAGCCUACCAGUAAAGAGUGUUGUUACAAUUGGGAGCUUUCGGCUUUGGCUCUCAGGGAUAUGGUCUCAGAGGUAUACAUUACCGUAUUUAAGCUCCUUCAUGUUGUUUCAGUCCAAUGCUGCCAAUUUGUACUUCAUCAUUAAGGAAUAAGGAAUAACUCUUCUUGUGGUAACAAAGAAAUUGCUUAUAAACAAUGCAGGGGCUCAUAGAAGAAGAAAAAUUGGAUUCCUUCAACAUUCCUCAAUGUACGCCAUCUCCUACGUACUGGAAUGAAGCUUGAGAUUGAAGAGGAAGGAUCAUUUGUCAUAGACCGGCUAGAAGUUUUUGAAGUGGACUGGGAUUAUUACGAGAGUGGUGGUCCUUGUAAUGCUGCAAAGGGUAUUAGAGCGGUGGCAAAAUGAAUGUUUGCUGCUCACUUUGGGAGUGGAAUCAUAGAAGAGGUGUUCCGCAGACACACGGAGAGAUUGUUGUUAAUCGCAAUUCCAAAUAGAAGCCUCAGUAUGUCAAUUUGGUUGUUUCCAUGACUGUAAGUGGAUGAUCAAAGUGAACGUUGUCUUUAAUUAUCAUCAAUUUUAAUGUUGCCUUAAAUUUCAAUAAGUAGAAAGAUUCAUAUAAGAUUGGGUAUUUAGAUGAUGAUGAUCAAUUGUCGAACGCAUUGAAUAAAUGUUUGAGUAAAUAGAACUUUUAUUCUGUUGAAGAAAAUACUAAAUAUCUUCAUGAUACUUUUAUUGCAUGCUUGGAUGAUAUAAAUGAAUUUAAAAUUCAGAGUACAUUUAUUGUAUCCCUUAAUUUGAAUGCUUAAGUCCUCAACUAUGUACUUCAAAGAAUAAGGAAGAGAAAAAGAGAGUAUCAUAAUUUUAUGGAGUAAUGACGCCAAGGGUAUUUGCUUUUCUCAUUUGAUUUGUCAUUGUCUAUUUAAAAUACAUUUGUUUCUAUGAUUUAGGGGAUUGAUCAUGGUUUGGUUAAAUCAUCAACACAACAAUGGGAUUGCAACACUAGAAUGGGCUCCAUGCCUUAAUCCCUAUGCUGACUGUGUGAGGGUGCCUUACUCCAUAUGUUGACGAUGCGAGGACGUUUUUCUUUUUUAAUGCUUCUACCUAGAAAUAACAAUAAUAUAACCAUAUUCUACAUUAUAAUAAUUGUUGUCUCAAUGUGAUAUAUAUCUUUGUGUAUCGUUUUAAAACUAACCAUUUUUUUAUAUUUCAGACAGACAUGAAAUUCUAAUUAUAUGGUAAUUGAGCAUGUUAAAAAUUUAGAGUGUAGUUAUUUAUAAAAAUUGAUCUACCUAUAAAUAAAUAAAGGAGUGAAUAAAAAAAAUAAAAAAUAAAAUUGAUCAUCUCCACGUUUUUCUUUUUUAAAUUUUCAUUACCUACAAAUGGGAAUUAAAAAAAUACAAAAAGUUCCUUGAGAUUUUUAAAAUUUGGUUGAAUAUAGGAUUCCCAUUAGGAUGCUGACAAACCAACAUAUGCUAAAGACAACUACACUUUCAUCGUCUAGAUUUAAUAAUAUGUUUGACAACAAAACAUCUUGUCACAAAGGGGGAAUCUACACAAAUUGGAUGGAUACUUGAUCAUGGAAAGCUUAUUUUAGUGAGGCUUACACGCACGUUCUGAAAUAUAAGAGUAAUAAAAUAAGCAAGGCAACAGUAGAUAAACGUGACCAAUGAAGCAGCCGCCAUGUUGACUGUUGGAUGAAGCAGCUUGCCCUGUUGAGUGUUGGUCAUCCACGCUUAGUCAUGGAAACCGUGACAUUUACGAAUUCAGUCUUCUCUCUGGUCAUGCGAUCAGCAACAAUCUUUUUGUACCUGCUGAACACUUCCUCUAUUAUUCCAUCACCGAAGUGGCUUACAAGCAAUGGCUCUGCAACUGCUCUCAUCAACUUGGCCACGUUGUAUCCACCAUCUUUAUGAGCAUCUGAUGGGCAGAAUUCACCGUGGUACGCAUUCCAGUUCACUUCAGAAACCUCCAGCCGAUUUAUGGUGAAGGAUCCUUCCUUUUCAACCUCACAUUUUACUUCAGCUGGGGAAGGUGUAUAUUGAGGAAUAUUGAAGGAAUCCAUCUUCUCCUCAUCUAUGAGCCCCUGCAUUUAAAAAUGGUUAAUUAAUUUACAUGCAAUUUCAUAUAUAGUUACCACACAGGUGCUGUUGCUGAAUGAUUUGAUCUAUACAAAUUGGCAACAUUAAGGGAUGAAAGAAUUAAAACUGUACCUCUGAAACCAUAUCAUUGAGAGCCACAGCUAAGAGCUCCCAGAUAUAGCAACAUUCUUUGCUAGAGGGAUCUUCACUUCUUCUUCCUAAAAAUGUUAAAACCAUAGUCCCUCCUCCUAGUAGUUCCUCCGACCGACACCUGAGAAACAUGGAGAAAUCGCUUUGGAAUUGCUCAUAGUAUGCUUUAAGCACGCUUGGUGGGCUCGAACUGGCCAUGUAAAUAUUCCCUUUGUUCUCCAGCCCUCGAGGAACCUGACGAACAAUUGAAGUUUCUAACUCACUUGCUUUCUUUUUGGUUACUAAUAAAUCAUCAUAAACCAGUAUUUUUAAUUAAAAGCAAAGAGUCACCUGAGACAACCAUUGGAGACUGUAAGAAGAAUGGACAAAAUGAAGACUUUUGCUGGGGAAGAGCCUGCAGUAGAAAGAGCCUGGAACUCCGGUUACAAAACAUGAUUCAGCGCCUGCUCCCAUUGUUUUCUGAAGAUCUUUCUGGAACUUGGGCAAGGAUUUGAAAAUGGUGUUGAAAUCAUUUCCCGGCAGAUCAUUCAAAAACACUUGAAUUUCGGGCAAUUGACGCCCCAUUUUCUUCCCCACCUUGUCCACUGUAGUGACAACUUCCAAGACUGCAAAAAAAGUGUUGGGUCCAGAAGAACAGCCCAAGUCUGCGAUGCAUAGGCUGGCCGGGAAGUUGUUGCAGUAGAGAUUUGUUAUGGCGUCCUCGAUUAUAGGCUUUGUCAAGGAUAUUACUUUUUUCUGCACCAUUAAAGUGGAACUUGUCAUAAUUGAAAACUUUUCAGAAAAACGGCAGUAUAUUGUACCUGCGUGAUAAAAACACAAAAUCUGGAAGUGCAUGGGUGCUACAGAUCAAUCAGCAUGUCUUGACUAUUCAUUCUUUAAUUUAAGAAAAGGAAACAGUGCAUAUAUAUAAUAUAUACAUGUCAGCUGAUGCUUAAAUAUCGAAGAAGAAUUAAAUUUAGCAAGAGACACACCUGAACUAAUGAGUUUUCUGCGUAACUGGUGUCCCCAUUUCCUCCCUUCAUGCAAAGCACUUGAGCUACUUCCAUCUCUUUCUUCCUGCCUCUUCGCUGAUUGCUUCCUCUCAGUUGGAAUGUGGAUUAUGUUGAAGGAGAUGCUCCCCAUUUAUAGAACUUGGAGCCACAUCUUAGUGGAAUUAAUUUUUUCAUCUUCUAUGGGCUCUACUUCCACCGAACCCCCGAUUGGCACUAGUGGAACUGAUAAUUCAGGAUUGAUGUCACAUUGUGGGUAGUCCUGAGUCCUGACGUCCACUAGAAGAUAGCACGCCACAUGCUGUCCACUAAUAUCCGGGUGGGUCCAUGCUACCUAUUCAAAUAUCUAGGUCGGCAACACUUCUGGGAAGAACUCUACAAAAUAAAAAUAGAAAUACUUUAAAAUCAUUCUAAAAAAUAAUCUAUUUUUAAAUACAAAAUCAUUAAAAUAGACUAAAACUUAAACCUAAAAGAUUCGAUUCAUAAUUUAUAUCAUACACUUUCUCGUACCAAACAUAUGGUAAACCUUAUUGGCUAGAUGAGGGCGAAUCUGCCUAUGAGAGUGAUUUUUUUUUUUUUUCAAUAUUUCUCCAUUUUAAAAUUUUUUUUCAUACAUUUUUAUGAUUUAUUUUAUCAUUUGUUAAAGUGGUAAGCAAUCAUUAAAUACACAAAAUAAUUUUUUAUUUUAUUUAUUUAUAUUAUAUCUUCAACUUUAAGAGUGAAUUACUUUAACAAAGGAUAAAAUUAAGAACAACCCAUAAUAAGUACAAGGACAUGAGUCUACUUUAUUUUAACAUUGAUGCCUCAGUUCUAGUAUGAACAUUAGACCAUGUCUCAGGGAAAAAGUCUAAACCUUGUUCUCACCGAGAAAAGUAAAAGGGGGAAAGUGUGAGAAAGGGUGAGAAAGUGUAAAACUGAUGCAGCUUUUUGCAGGUGUCUGCGACAACAUGAGAGACUUAUUGCAUUGAGUUUUGUUCUAAUUGGCUAGAUAUGCCAUCAUUUCCCCUCCCCCCCCUUCAAAAGAAUGUCACAUUUUAUGUUUCACGUGAAUCAUAUCUGCUAAUAAUUUGAGGCGGGUGUUUUAUUUAUUUCCUUUUCCUACACCUACGAAACUUCAAGUGCAUGAUUGACAGAUUUCAAAAAUAAUACUACUAACAUGGACAUGUGGGCAUGAAACACGAUGAUGGAAGUAGGACAAGGUCAAGGUUGGCGCAUGGGUUGGCCGCAGCUACCUUAAAACAAAUUGGUAUUAGUUAUCGGCCACAGAAUAUUGGAGGUACCACAGGAGCAUGACGCUUUCUGAACAACCCUGCAGGCGUUUGUUAGCUGACGUUUCCAUGCAUGACACCAUCUGCCUCAUUUUUUCUUCAAUCUAAUGUGAAGUUUGUCUCCUCUUAUCUUCUUUUUCAAAAUAAUAUCCAUUCAAAUAUGCCAACCAAGUCAAUUUUAGUUGAAAAAUAGCUAUCUGCAAAAAGUUGUGACCGUGGAGGAAAGACGUAACUGAUCUACCACAUGAUGAACUAGUUAAGAUCCCAUGAAUAUUAAGUCAACGGUUUGGUUGGUAUCACAAAGAACAGAUCUUAUCACUAAAAUUAGAUUUUUUUUUUUUUUUUCACACUAAAUGGCCAAGAGUUGGUUUGGAAGGGGAUCUUGGUAAAGUGUUUUUAGUUUUCAACACUUAUAAGUAGAAUCAGUUAGUGUAGUAAUAUUUUUAAUUAUGUGUUGUAUAACAAAAAUUCAUUUUUGAAAUAUGAUUAAAUGUUUCUUUGGAUACACUCUUAUUUUUUGUUUUCAUGUUGAAGACACCAAAAAAACUAACUUUUGGCAAGACCCAUGAAAUUCAAAGUUCAUUCAUUGGAAAGGAUCCGCCCAGAUCUGGUUCCAAAACAAUGGUAAAUUUAUCACUUUUUUUCAUUGACCAUAUCAAAGUGUAAUACCCCAAACCCUAAAUAAAAUCAUAAUUCAAAAAACUCUUUUACAUAGAGAUGAGAAAUAUCAAAGAACAUAGAACUGAAGAUUUGGAGGUUUAGGGUUUGAGGAUCAAUUUUUUCGGGUAAGAUUUUUAAUCCUUAAAUUAAUAUUCUAUAUUCAUUAAUUAGUUUUAAACACUUUAGAUAUUCUUUACAAUAUCUCAAUUUUGAUUAGAGUUCGUUUAAUUAAUUUAUAAGUCAAAAAGAUUAAAAAAUUAUAAACAUAGUUUGAUUUAUUAAUGGAGAUGGACAAAUUUUGAUCACUCAAAUGAAUAGAUCUAGAAAAAAAAUAUAAUAAAUAAAAAAAAUAAGAGUAGUGUGAUUUUCUAGAACAGUGAAGAAAAAAUUAUAAUUAUAAUAAUAUAGAUGUGUGUCGUGUAGUAGAGGGUUUAAAAGAAAAAAAAAAAAAAAAAAAGAAUGCGUGUGUACAUCUAGGAAAUGAAGAAAUAAAAGAAGAAGAAAAAACAAGUGUUAUUAUUAUAAUAAUAAUAAUGGGCGUAGUUGGUGGCUUGGAGUAACGGUGUUGUAGGGUUUUGAAAAGUAAUAUUAAUAUUAAUAAUAUAUAUAUAUAUAUAUAUAUAUAUAUAUAUAUAUAUAUAUAUAUAUAUAUAUAUAUAACACAUUAAGACUAACAUGCCGAGAAAUGUAUAUUUUAGCAAAUAACAUGUUAAGACAUGUCAUUAAGUUGUAUUUAUAAAAAUUGAUGUACCUAUAAAUAAAUAAAGGAGUGAAUAAAAAAAAAAAAUUGAUCAUCUCCACGUUUUUCUUUUUAAAAUUUUCAUUACCUACAAAUGGGAAUAAAAAAAUACAAAAAGUUCCUUGAGAUUUUUAAAAUUUGGUUGAAUAUAGGAUUCCCAUUAGGAUGCAAACAUAUGCUAAAGACAACUACACUUUCAAUAUCGUCUAGAUUUAAUAAUAUGUUUGACAAUAAAACAUCGUGUCACAAAGGGGGAAUCUACACAAAUUGGAUGGAUACUUGAUCAUGGAAAGCUUAUUUUAGUGAGGCUUACACGCACGUUCUGAAAUAUAAGAGUAAUAUAUAUAUAUAUAAUGUAUAUAUAACGUAUAACAUGUGUUCUAAUAAUAGUAAUAAUAAUGGGCGUUGGCUUGGAGUAAUGGUGUGCCAGGUCUUUAAAAGUAAUAUUAAUAUUAAUAAUAUAUAUAUAUAAUGUGUGUAGUUGGUUAAGUGAAAGUUGGAUUAUGGGAAUAAUAAUAAUAAUAAUAAUAAUAGUUUUAUGUAUAGGUUUUAAUUUAAUUUAAGUAUAUAAAGAAAUAAAUAGUGAGGGUAAGAUUAGGAAAGAAAAUGAAUUUUACAAUAAUUUGAAAACUCUGUAAAUUAAUUUAUUAUUGUUUAGCAAGUUGAAAAUAAUAUUGGGUAGUAAUAAUAUUAGCAUGAGAAAUUAAUUAGAAUCCCUAAUACUAAAUAAAAUAUUUUUAGGAUUGUGAAAUUUUUACCUUUAGAUAAUUGUGUAUGAUAUUAUGUUAGGUGAUGAGUAAAUUCGUUCAGCUAAGUACUUCAAGUUUUUGAGCACUUCUUCAAGGUAAGGGAAAUUAAUGCAAAUUUUUAUAAAAGAAAAUAAUUUUCUUUUUAUAUUGUAUUUUGAAAUGUGUAAAAAUAUUAUUUUUAUCUUUAUGCAUGAAUCAAAUAUGUGUUUUGUAUGAAAUGUAUAUUUGAACAUUUUCUUUGUUUAUAAAAAAUGAAAAAUUUAGGAGAUAUGAUGUUUUGUUUUGUAAGUUUGAAUUAAUGAUAUAAAGUGUUUGACUUUACAUUAUAUGACUCUAGUCAACGGGUUAUAAGUUCCCAGAUGAGGUCCCAACAUCAACAGUAGAGGCAACGAGGCUAGUAGUAUUAGAGACAUUCUUCAUUCUACGCUAGAGGUGAGUAGGGUGCUCAGAGGGCGGCUAUUGCUAAAGUAUGUUAUGGUUGUGGGGUAGGAGAUCAUUUAUGGAGGGCUUGCCCAUUAAGGGGUGCACGACAAGCUCAAUUUAAGCCAUAAAGAGGUCCUCAGCAACAACCAAUAUUGCAUUUCCAGCCUCCUCAAUUUCACCUACACUACUACCAGAUGUCGCAGUUAUCCCCAGUAGUGUAGGGAGCCUAGACAACCACUAUGAGUAGUCAGACUCCAUCUUCUCAAGGAUCGAGUGCUAGAAGUAAAGGGAGGCAGGCGGCAGGUAGAGUUUUUGCCUUGACCCCAAUAAAGUUAGAGAAUGACGUCAUUUUGGUGGAAAGUAUGGUUUUGGUCCAUAGUACUUAGGUGCGUAUUUUGUUUGAUACUGGUGCAACUCAUUCUUUUAUUUCUGUAUCUUGUGCUAAUAUAUAGGGGAUGAAAACGAAAAUAGUAAAAAAUCUAUUACUUAUCGAAUNNNNNNNNNNNNNNNNNNNNNNNNNNNNNNNNNNNNNNNNNNNNNNNNNNNNNNNNNNNNNNNNNNNNNNNNNNNNNNNNNNNGGGGAUGAAAACGAAAUAGUAGAAAUCCAUUACUUAUCGAAUCCUUAUGGGUACGAAUUCUAGAGUUGAUAGAAUAUGCAAGGAGUGCAUUAUUACCUUGGUAGAUAGAGCACUUAAGGUGGAUUUGAUGAUUUUGGAUAUGACUAGGUAUGAUGUUAUCUUGGGAAUGGAUUGGUUGACAAUGUAUAAAGCACUUAUUAAUUGUCAUCAUCGUAGGAUAAUAUUUUGUCUGUCAGAUGGAUUUGAGAUUUGCUUUGUUGGGGGGAAGUGUAUUAGUUUUGCCCUUUUCGCAGUCCGAUCCAUGCUAUUAGUAUGUGUUGAGGAAGGGAUCAAUAAAUUUCCUAGCUUGUCUUUUUAGUAAGGAAAAAACCUAGAAGGACUUUACAAAAAUUCUAUUAGUGGGGAAGUUUCAAGAUGUAUUUCCAGGUGAGCUACAAGGUUUACCACCAUAUAGAGAGUUUGAUUUCUCUAUUGAAGUAUAUCCAGGAACGGAUCCUAUCUCGGCAACCCCCUAUAGGAUGGUGCCUCUUGAGUUGAAAGAGUUGAAAACUCAAUUUGAGGAAUUGUUGAGUAAAAGUUUUAUUCGUCCAAAUACAUUACCAUGGGGAGCCCCAAUGUUGUUUAUGAAGAAUAAAAAUGACACAUUAAGGUUGUGUAUUGACUAUAGGAAGUUGAAUAGAGUUACUAAGAAGAAUAAGUAUCAUCUUUCAAUGAUAGAUAAUUUGUUUGAUCAGUUGAAGGAUGCGAAGUGUUUUAGUAAGAUUGACUUGAGAAUUGGGUAUCAUCAAUUGAGUGUUAGAGAAGAAAAUGUCCCCAAGAUUGCUCUUAGAACGAGAUAUGGGCAUUAUGAAUUCUUAGUCAUGCCUUUUAGGUUAACUAAUGUCCCCGCUGCUUUCAUGGAUUUAAUGAACAUAAUAUUUUGUGCUUGCUUGGAUUAGUUUGUGAUUGUCCUUAUGGAUGACAUCUUGAUUUACUCAAGGAGUUUGGAGGAGCAUAAGUAGUAUUUGGUGACCACCCUUAGAACAUUAAGAAGACACCAAUUAUAUGGAAAGUUGGACAAAAGUGAGCUUUGGCUUACUGAAGUGAAUUUAUUAGGCCAUGUGGUUUUUGAGGCAGUAGUAGUGGACCAUUCCAAGGUGGAAAUUGUGCAAGAGUGGCAAAGGCCUACAAAUGUAUUUGAGGUUAAGAGUUUCUUGGGAUUGGUUAGAUAUUAUAGGAUGUUUUUGGAAGACUUCUCUAGAAUUGCAACACCGAUGACUCGGUUGACUAGAAAAUGAGUGAAAUUUGAAUGGAAUGAUGAGUGUGAGAAUGCUUUCCAAGAGUUGAAGUGGAAAUUGACCACUAUUCUAGUGUUAACUACUCUUACUAGUGGAAAGUUGUUUAUUAUUUAAUGUGAUGUUUUUACAGUAAGGCUAUGGUGCGUGCUAAUGCAGCAAGGCAAGGUGAUAGCUUAUGCCUCAAGGCAAUUAAAGUCGCAUCAGCGGAACUAUCCAACAAAUUAUUUGAAGCUUGCAGUAGUGGUGUUUGCCCUUAAGACUUGGAGACACUAUUUGUAUUGAGAGAAGUUUGAGGUGUACUUUGAUCAUAAGAGUUUGAAAUACAUCUUCACUCAAAAGGAUUUGAACUCUAGUCAAAGAAGAUGGAUGGAGACAUUGGAAGAUUAUGAUUUUGCUCUUCAUUACCAUCUUGGAAAGACGAAUAUUGUAGUAGAUGCCUUGAGUAGGAAGAACUAUGGUCAAUUGCCUAGCUUGUGGUUGAGAGAGUUUGAGCUGCAUGCAGUUAUUAAAGAUUUUGAGCUAUGUCUUGGUUGGGAAGUACAGGGUCCAUGCUUGUAUAGUAUAUCGGCUAGACCAUUCAUUAUCCAAAUAAUAGUGGAGACCCAAUUUCAUGAUGAGCUUUUAGAAAAAGUUAAAGCCCAAUUGGUAGAAGGUGAAGCAAAUGAAAAUUGGUCUAUACAUGUAGAUAGGAGUGUGAGAUUUAAAGGAAUAUUGUGUGUGCCAAAGGAUGUAGAGUUGAGGAAUGAACUUCUAGUAGAUGCUGAUAAGGCAAAGUAUACCAUCCACCCUGAGAGUGCCAAAAUGUAUCAAGACUUAAAGAGAUAAUUUUUGUGGAGUGGGAUGAAAUGAGACAUUGCUCAAUAUGUAGCCAAUUGUUAGCAAGUGAAAGAUGAAUACCAAAAGCUUACGAGAUUGUUGCCAAUUUUACCUACACUUGAGUGGAAGUGGGAUCAUAUCACUGUGGAAUUUGUGAUAGGGUUGCUAAGAAUUAGAAGAAAAAAAAUGGAGUUUGGGUGAUUGUGGACUAUCUUACUAAGUCAACUCAUUUUCUAGCCAUGAAGACUUGACUCCAUGAACUCUCUCGUUAAGUUGUAUAUAUAGGAGAUUGUGAGGUUGCAUGGGAUACCUUUGUUUAUAGUGUCUGACAAGGACCUUAAGUUUACUUCUCAAUUUUGGCAGAGUUUACAAAGGGUUAUGAGCACCCAAUUGAAUUUUAGCAUCGCUUUUCACCCUCAAACAGAUGGUUAGUUAGAAAAAGUAAUCCAAAUUUUAGAAGACAUGUUGAGGGCUUAUGUUUUGGACUUUGGAGGGAAUUGGGUAGAGUUCGCUUAUAACAAUAGUUACCAAUCUAGUAUUGGCAUAGCACCUUAUGAAGCACUCUAUGAGAGACCUUGUAGAUCACCCUUGUGUUGAAUAGAGUUGGGUAAUUAAGAGUCGUUUGUUGGGACCUGAGAUUGUCUAAGAGACUAUGAAAAAAAUACAACUCAUCAAGAAAAAACUUAAGAUCACUCAAGAUAGAUAGAAAAACUAUGCAAACCAAAGGAGAAGGGCUUUGGAGUUUGGGGAAAAGGAUUGGGUUUUUAUUAAGGUGUCCCCGUAAUCAAAGUGUGAUGACAACACCAUGGGAUUGAAGAAGCCACUUGGGAUCAUGAAGAAGAAAUUAGGCAACAUUAUUCGCAACUGUUCUUUAAUUUUUGAGGUAAACUCGUUUAAAUUUUGAGACAAAAUUUCUUUCAGGGGGGUAGGAUGUAAUGAUUGAGUAUUUUAAGCCAAGUUGGAAUUUCAAGUUUGAAAAUUCUUCCUUUUUGGUGGUGGUUGAAAAGUCAAAAAGUAGUUGGAAAAUACGUGUCAAUUUUGGAUUGAUGGAAUUUGAAAGAUUUUAUUGGUCAAUCAAGCGAGUUGAAUUUUCGUGCCACGUUAGCUUUUUAGCAGGAAAUUUCUUAGGAUUGUAGAAAUCAAAUUUUUUUCCCGAAAAUCAAAAAGCGAAAACAAAAAUAAAAUAAAUAAAUAAAUUUUAAAAAUUAAAAUAUUUGUGUGGUGUGUGAUAAUUUAUUUUGUGUGUUGUAAAAGAAUGAAUUAAGAAAAGAAAAUGAAUUGAAUUAAGGAAAAAAAAAACUAAAUUAAUAUAAUAUAAUAUAUAUAUAUACAUAUAUUGUUUUUGGAUUGGGCUGUCACCACCUUUAGUGGCUCGUUUAAAUAGAAAAGAAAAAGAACGAAGAAAGUAGAAAAUGAAGGAAAACUUAUAGAAGAGUCUUGGUGACUGCAGUGGAAAAAAAAAAAAACUACUUUUCGAUUGGUUGUUUCAAUGGCCAAACAUCAUCCUUUUCACGUGAAAUUUUAAGGGAAUACUUUACUCGACACGAGGAACAUUCAUACAGUGUUGGAUUUUGUUUUCAACGAUUGGAUCAUUAGAUCUGUGGUAGACGGUUUUAACACUAAAACUUUAAUUAAAUGCCCUUUUCUUAACAAAAAUUAUUGUUUUUGUUGUUAGAAGCUAAAUAAACAAUAUUUGUGAUACGAGGAAUUUUAUUGGAUGAUUUGGGAAUUUUUUUAGAAAUUUUGUGAUGACGAUAUUUUUUUUAUGGUUGUUAAAUGAUUGUGCUUGGGUUAUUAAAAUUAAUGGGAUCAUUGAGGAUAAAUGAAAUUAUGGUAGAAAUUAUGUUGGAUUGAUAUUGGGUAUAUUGAGAACUAAUUGAGAUGUUUUUGGUAAUUUAAUUGUGAAAAUAAUUGUAUUUGGUUAUUGAAAUUAUUGGGAUUGUUGACAAUAAAAGAAAUUUUAGUAUACAUUGUAAUUUUAUUGAUGUUUGGAUUAGUGAGAAUUUUGUAUGACAUUUGUAGAUGAUGAUAUGUAAUUUCAUUGCAUUUCAUAUGCAUCAUGGUUGUGUGAAGGAAAAUAAAAAUUUGUUGUAAGGUUGUAUGAAAUAAAAAAGAAAGAAAAAUAAAAUAAUGAUGAAAAGUAAAGGCCCGUGAAAGGUGAAUUAAGAAGGGAGUGAGAUCCUUAGGGUGAAAGACCAAAAAUUUACCCCGGGAAUACUCUAAACUGGGAGUGUAUUUAGGUACAGACAUGUUUUCUUUAUUGAAAGCUCGAGAACGACAAUACUUUUUAUGACUGUGUGUUACAUAUCCACAUGCAUUUUAUUAAUUGUUGAAAAUUGCUGAAUUGCUAUAAUUAUAGAAACUAAAAUGUUUGGGUUGGUUAAAUUAUGGUAGAAUGUUUAUUUUUUUGUAUACUUGAACCUUAGUAAUCCCAAAUUAACCUUUCCUUGGGUGUAAAGCACUCUACUGAGUAAUGUGAAAUGCUCAUCAUUUCCUUCUUAUAUAUAUUUAAAUGUAGAUGUGAUUCAUGAGGAUCCACAAAUGGGACAAGGAGGGCUUUAAGACGCCUCAGAAGAUUUUGGAGCAGCAUAAUGAAUUGUAGUGUAGUUGUUAUGUUGGUUUAUUUUGGAACUUGUAUUAACAAAUUUUGAAAUUAUAUAUUUGUAUUGAGACUUUAUUUUGAUUAAUUUGCUUAUAUUGUGGACUUUCAUUUUAGACUUGAGUUGGAGAUUACAUUGUUAUUGAAUUUCUUUGUUGCUCUUAAGUAAUGAUUGUUAUAUUGAUAAAUUGGAAUGUUAGUUAAAGGAAGUUCUAGUGUGAUUUAUAUUUAAAAAAAGAAAAAGAAAAUUCAAAGCGUUUUAGUUUACUGUUAGCUUGGAUUAGGAGGAACCCUUAGGAUCAAAUCUUUGACUUUGGAUCAUGGGCCAAAUUUUGAGUCGCCCAAAAUUCGGGUCGUGACAGCUCUAAGUCCUCAACUAUGUACUUCAAAGAAUAAGGAAGAGAAAAAGAGAGUAUCCUAAUUUUAUGGGGUAAUGACGUCAAGGGUAUUUGCUUUUCUCAUUUGAUUUGUCAUUGUCUAUUUAAAAUAAAUUCUUUUCUAUGAUAUAGGGCUUGAUCGUGGUUUGGUUGAAUCAUCAACACUACAAGCGUACGUGUAACAUGGGAUUGCAACACUAGAAUGGGCUGCAUGCCUUAAUCCCUAUGCUGACUGUGUGAGGGUGCCUUAGUCCAUAUGUUGACGACGAGGGAUAUACAUACCUUAUAAUCAUUGUGGUCUCAAUGUCAUAUAUAUUUGUGGAUCGUUUUAAAGCAAUCCAUUUAUAUAUAUAUAUAUAUAUAUAUAUAUAUAUAUAUAUAUAUAUAUAUAUAUUUCAGAUUUUCCAAAAUAUCAAUGUGAAAAAUCUAGUUGGCUUUUUACAACACAAGAUUGCUUUAUAUAAAUCUUAAGGUAUGACAUUAAGACUAACAUGCCGAGAAAUGUAUAUUUUAGCAAAUGACAUGUUAAGACAUGCAUGUCAUUAAGUUGUAUUUAUAAAAAUUGAUCUACCUAUAAAUAAAUAAAGGAGUGAAUAAAAAAAAAAAUUUGAUCAUCUCCACGUUUUUCUUUUUUAAAUUUUCAUUACCUACAAAUGGGAAUAAAAAAAUACAAAAAGACGUUCCUUGAGAUUUUUAAAAUUUGGUUGAAUAUAGGAUUCCCAUUAGGAUUCUGACAAACCAAACAUAUGUUAAAGACAACUACACUUUCAUCGUCUAGAUUUAAUAAUAUGUUUGACAAUAAAACGUCGUGUCACAAAGGGGGAAUCUACACAAAUUGGAUGGAUACUUGAUCAUGGAAAGCUUAUUUUAGUGAGGCUUACAUGCACGUUCUGAAAUAUAAGAGUAAUAAAAUAAGCAAGGCAACAGUAGAUAAACGUGACCAAUGAAGCAGCCGCCAUGUUGACUGUUGGAUGAAGCAGCUUGCCCUGUUGAAUGUUGGUCAUCCACGCUUAGUCAUGAAAACCGUGACAUUUACGAAUUCAGUCUUCUCUCUGGUCAUGCGAUCAGCAACAAUCUUUUUGUACCUGCCGAACACUUCCUCUAUUAUUCCGUCACCGAAGUGGCUUACAAGCAAUGGCUCUGCAACUGCUCUCAUCAACUUGGCCACGUUGUAUCCACCAUCUUUAUGAGCAUCUGAUGGGCAGAAUUCACCGUGGUACGCAUUCCAGUUCACUUCAGAAACCUCCAGCCGAUUUAUGGUGUAGGAUCCUUCCUUUUCAACCUCACAUUUUACUUCAGCUGGGGAAGGUGUAUAUUGAGGAAUAUUGAAGGAAUCCAUCUUCUCCUCAUCUAUGAGCCCCUGCAUUUAAAAAUGGUUAAUUAAUUUACAUGCAAUUUCAUAUAUAGUUACCACACAGGUGCUGUUGCUGAAUGAUUUGAUCUAUACAAAUUGGCAACAUUAAGGGAUGAAAGAAUUAAAACUGUACCUCUGAAACCAUAUCAUUGAGAGCCACAGCUAAGAGCUCCCAGAUAUAGCAACAUUCUUUGCUAGAGGGAUCUUCACUUCUUCUUCCUAAAAAUGUUAAAACCACAGUCCCUCCUCCUAGUAGUUCCUCCGACCGACACCUGAGAAACAUGGAGAAAUCGCCUUGGAAUUGCUCAUAGUAUGCUUUAAGCACGCUUGGUGGGCUCCAACUGGCCAUGUAAAUAUUCCCUUUGUUACUCUCCAGCCCUCGAGGAACCUGACGAACAAUUGAAAUUUCUAACUCACUUGCUUUCUUUUUGGUUUCUAAUAAAUCAUCAUAAGCCAGUAUUUUUAAUUAAAAGCAAAGAGUCACCUGAGACAACCAUUGGAGACUGUAAGAAGAAUGGACAAAAUGAAGACUUUUGCUGGGGAAGAGCCUGCCGUAGAAAGAGCCUGGAACUCCGGUUACAAAACAUGAUUCAGCGCCUGCUCCCAUUGUUUUCUGAAGAUCUUUUUGGAACUUGGGCAAGGAUUUGAAAAUGGUGUUGAAAUCAUUUCCCGGCAGAUCGUUCAAAAACACUUGAAUUUCGGGCAAUUGAUGCCCCAUUUUCUUCCCCACCUUGUCCACCGUAGUGACAACUUCCAAGACUGCAAAAAAAGUGUCGGGUCAAGAAGAACAGCCCAAGUCUGCGAUGCAUAGGCUGGCCGGAAAGUUGUUGCAGUAGAGAUUUGUUAUGGCGUCCUCGAUUAUAGGCUUUGUCAGGGAUAUUACUUUUUUCUGCACCAUUAAAGUGGAACUUGUCAUAAUUGAAAACUUUUCAGAAAAACGGCAGUAUAUUGUACCUGCGUGAUAAAAACACAAAAUCUGGAAGUGCAUGGGUGCUACAGAUCAAUCAGCAUGUCUUGACUAUUUAUUCUUUAAUUUAAGAAAAGGAAACAGUGCAUAUAUAUAAUAUAUGCAUGUCAGCUGAUGCUUAAAUAUCGAAGAAGAAUUAAAUUUAGCAAGAGACACACCUAUGAAAGUUUUAGAAACUGGGUUUUAGAAAAACCAAUAUUUCUCAUUGUCUAUUAGAAAAGGUGAUCCAUCUUUGUACACUGACGUUUUCUUAUAUUUAUAUCUACAACAACCUAAUUAACUAACUUCCUUCUUCGAGAUGUUCUUAACCGGCUUCUGUUUGUUGCAGCUAACCUUGGUUUGUUGCACCUAAUCUCGGUUUGUAGCAGCUGAUCCCGGACACUUACUUUCUUGUUGAUCAGCUAGGUAUCGUCUAUCAUCCCCCUGCAAGCUCACAGGGGAGGGAACAACAGAAAGCUUCGUUCUAAAACUAAGGAACUGGGAGCUUGAAAUAUCUUUAGUGAAAAUGUCAGCAACUUGUUCAGCGGAAGAAAGAUACUGAAUGAUGAGCUGUUUACGAAGAACAUGAUCCCGUAUAAAGUGAAGAUCCAUUUCAAUGUGUUUGGUCCUAGCAUGGAACACGGGAUUUGCAGCCAAGUGAGCUGCACUUUUAUUAUCACACCAAAGUAGAGGUGGAGAGAAGGAAGAGAGACAAAGUUCUUGUAGAACAUAUUGAAUCCAAAUAAUCUCUGAAGUAGCAGACGCAAGAGCACGAUACUCAGAUUCUGCACUGCUGCGAGACACAACCUUCUGUUUGUUGGAAGACCAUGACACUAAAUUCAGACCAAGGAAGAUGCCAUAGCCACCGGUGCUUCUUCUGUCAUCUGGACAAGAUGCCCAGUCGGCAUCAGUAUAUCCAUGAAUAUCCAACGAGGUGGAUUGUUGCAUCUGAAUGCCAUAGGAUAAAGUGCCUUUGAGAUAUCGCAAAAUCCGUUUCACAGCAAGCCAAUGAGUAGUAGUGGGUGUAGCCAUGAAUUGACAAGCUUUAUUAACAGAAAAAGAAAUGUCCGGUCUGGUAAGGGUAAGAUACUGAAGCGCACCAACCGUUCUGCGAUAUAAGGUGGCAUCCGAGAGAGGUUCACCAUCAAGAUGAGAUAAUGUUUGUCCUAACAAUCCCGGAGUAGUAGCAGGCUUGGAUUCUAACAUGGCUGUGCGAGAUAAGAGGUAUUGUGUGUACUUAUGUUGACUGAGAUGAAACAUAGUACCAAAACGAACUACUUCAAUGCCUAAAAAAUAAUUGACAUAGCCUAGGUCACGAAGAGCAAAAGAAGAAUUGAGCCGAGUAAUAAAUGACGAAACCUGAGCUGAAUUGCUGUCAGUUACUAGUAUGUCGUCUACAUAAAUGAGGAAAAUAAGGACAUCAUGUGUUGAAUGGUGAAUAAACAUCGAGCUGUCAGCUCGAGAAGCUUGAAAUCCCCAGCUAAGAAGUGAAGUGCUGAGUUUGGUAUACCAUGCCCGGGGGGCCUGCUUAAGGCCAUAUAAAGCCUUGUUAAGCUUGCAAACAUGAGAAGGAAAUUGAGAAUUGAUAAAGCCCGAGGGUUGAUGCAUAAACCCAUGCUCUUCAAGAUCUCCAUGGAGAAAGGCAUUCUGAACAUCAAGUUGGUGAAUUGACCAGUUAAAUGAGAGUGCAACUGCAAGUAUAAUGCGGAUAGUAGAAGCCUUGACAACUGGACUAAAAGUCUCAAAAUAAUCGAGACCCAGAGUUUGAGUAAAUCCUUGUGCAACUAACCAGGCCUUAUAGCGAUCAACUGUUCCAUCGGGUUUAUAUUUGAGUUUGUAGACCCAUUUACAACCAAGUAUAUUGCCAUUGGAGGGUGGUGGAACUAGAUGCCAUGUGUUGUUUCUUUGGAGAGCAGAAAACUCUUUUUCCAUGGCAAGAACCCAAUUUGAAUCUUUAACAGCCUAUGUGAAUGUAGUAGGUUCAGAGAUGUGAGAUGAGAAGUAAACCUUCUUCUUGCUGAUGCCAUUCUUUGCACGUGUGACCAUGGGAUGCUGAUUAGUAGGGUGAGGUUUAGAAGUGGAGAUGUCAGCAAAAGGAACUUGUAUCAGGUCUGGUAAAGAAGUAGCGGAGGAAGGCAUAUUAGUUAACAGUGGGCUUGAUGUGGAAGGAGUUGUAUGGGAAGGUAGUGAGGACACGAGAGGAGAUGAGCAAGGAAGAAGGGUUGGAGUGGGGACAGUAACUACAGAUGAGGAUUGAUCCGGAGUAGACUGAAAUGGGAACACCGUUUCAUGAAACACAACAUGCCUAGUAAUAUAGAGACAGCCUGACAAUGGGUCAAGACACAUAUAGCCUUUGUGAUUGGAACUAUAGCCAAGGAAAAUGCAUUGACUGGAGCGAUAGGAGAGUUUAUUUUUGUUGUAUGGUCGAAUAUAAGGGUAGCAUAAGCAACCGAAAAUUUUAAAGAUGUGAUAAUUUGGUGAUUUUCCAAAAAGAAUUUGAAAGGGAGAUUGAUAAUUAAGAACCUUAGUAGGUAGCCAAUUUAUAAGGAAAAUAGUUGUAUGAAAUGCAUAUAGCCAAAACUUGAAAGGUAAGGAUGUAGUGGCUAAUAGAGCAAGACCAGUUUCAAUUAUAUGUCGUAAUUUGCGCUCCGCUCAACCAUUCUAUUCAGGUGUGUAUGGACAAGAAAACUGACUUUUAAUACCAUGCGUAGCAAGAUAUGAAGAGAAGCCUUUAAAUUCACCACCAUUAUCAGACCGUAAACAUUGUAUUCGAGAAUUAAACUGAUUUUCAACUAGACUUUUGAACUUUAUGAAUAUAGAUAAUGCUUGAUCUUUUCUGUGCAAUGAAUAAAUCCAAGAGAAACGAGAGAAAUCAUCAACAAACAAAAUGAAGUAGCGUGCACCAGUUGUGGACGGAAUGGAAGCAGGGCCCCAAAGAUUAGCAUGAAGUAAAGCUAAAGGAUGAGAAGCUCUAGAAACAGACACAUUGAAAGGCAAUUUAUAACUUUUUGCAAAUUGAUAAGCACAACAGACAUUGUUUUUAUGGCAUUGAUGUGAAAUAUUACAAGAGGUAAGAUUGUGUUUCAAGAUAUUAUCAGCAGGGUGUCCAAGCCGAGAAUGCCAAAGUGUAGUUGUGGUUGUUAAAGAAAGAUUGGAAGACCUGUCAUAACUGGAAGAAACAAAAGCUGCAGGUGAAGGCACAAAUCUGGCAGGGAAUCUAUAUAAGCCAUGUUCAAGACUUCCUUGAAGAAGUAUCUUCUUGGUGACCUGAUCCUUGACAAAAAAGAAUCGAGGAUGAAACUCAAAGAAAGCAUUAUUAUCGGCACAAAACUGUGAGACACUAAUGAGAUUAGUAGCAAUAUCAGGAACGUGAAGUACUUGUCUCCAUUGAAAGGUUUUAGAAGAGGAAGGAAAGAAAGUAGUGCCUAUAUGUAAAAUACGAAGGUGCUUACCAUUCCCAACAAUCACCUUGUCAUUACCCAUGUAUGGUUGUACAUCUGAGAGUGGAUCAACACUUUGUGAUAGGUGAUGUGUAGCACCAGUGUCAAAAAACCAUGCCUCAUCAGAUAUAGUGGAAGAAGAUGCCAUCAUAGCUUGCACUUGAUUCUUGGCAUUUGGUUUAUUGGUUUGAACAGUGUCCAUAUUAGUGUUGUAGCCUUGGAAGUUAAUAUCAAACCUGUGGUAGCAGCGAACCACGGUGUGGCCAAACUUGCCACAAAGCUGGCACUGUGGUCGAUGCUGAGAUGAUUGCGAGCGCCCACCUUUUGUACCUCUUCUUGUGUUGAACCCAAACUGCCUAUUUUGACCAGAGGAUUUUUUAUUGUUAAAAUGUUGAUAUUGUGGUGUAGCAAGAUUAGUAGAGAUGAUGUUAUCUUCUGCAACUGAAUUCUGAAAGCUAAGUCGUUGUUCAUGGGUGAGUAAAAUGCUGUGUACAGAGUGGAGAGACAUCUCAUCUUCACGUGCUGUAAGAGAGGCUACUAUGGAGUUGUAGUCUGCCCCAAGACCUCUAAGAAGUUGGAGGAUCUGAUCUCUAUCAGUCACAAGUUCUCCAAUGGCCGCCAAAUUAUCGGCCAAACUCUUUAGUUUAAGAAUGUAUUCCAUCAUUGUCAAUGACCCUUUCCUUGUGGUUUGGAACUCUAGGCGUAGUUGCAUCACCCUAGCCCUUGAAGAAGCCGAAAAGAUUCGUUCUAAAGCAAACCAGGCUGCAUGAGAGGAUUGAUAGCCAACUAUCUAGCCCAUGAUUUCAGGAGUGAGUGAGAAGUAGAUCCAGCUAAGGAUCAUGCGAUCGAAUCGUCGCCAUAUAACAAAAUCUGGGUUUGUUUCUCCAGAACUUGUUUUUUGAGGUGGACAAAUUUUCAGACCUUCGAUAUGAUCUUCAAAACCAUUGGCAAAGAUAACGUUCUCCAUUUGUGUUCUCCAAAGAAUGUAAUUGUUUCUAUCAAGUUUGAUCGACAAUGCAUGAUUCAGCAUCUGCAUUGUUUGAGUAGCACCGGUAGAUGAAGGUAGGGUACCAGCUUGUAACCCUGAUGACUGUGUUGAACUCAUCAUGAAUAGAAUGGAGGUUAUCUACAAAGAACUAAAACUGAUAUGAAGAAGAAGAAGAAGUCUUGUAAAAAAAAAAUACCAAAGCUUUGAUACCAUGAAAGUUUUAGAAACUGGGUUUUAGAAAAACCAAUAUUUCUCAUUGUCUAUUAGAAAAGGUGAUCCAUCUUUGUACACUGACGUUUUCUUAUAUUUAUAUCUACAACAACCUAACUAACUAACUUCCUUCUUUGAGACGUUCUUAACCGGCUUCUGUUUGUUGCAGCUAACCUUGGUUUGUUGCACCUGAUCUCGGUUUGUUGCAGCUGACCCCAGACAGUUACUUUCUUGUUGAUCAGCUAGGUAUCGUCUAUCAACCUAAACUAAUGAGUUUUUUGCGUAACUGGUGUCCCCAUUUCCUCCCUUCAUGCAAAGCACUUGAGCUACUUCCAUCUCUUUCUUCCUGCCUCUUCGCUGAUUGCUUCCUCUCAGUUGGAAUGUGGAUUAUGUUGAAGGAGAUGCUCCCCAUUUAUAGAACUUGGAGCCACAUCUUAGUGGAAUUAAUUUUUUUCAUCUUCUAUGGGCUCUACUUCCACCGAACCCCCGCUUGGCACUAGUGGAAUUGAUAAUUCAGGACUGAUGUCACAUUGUGGGUAGUCUUGAGUCCUGACAUCCACUAGAAGAUAGCACGCCACAUGCUGUCCACUAGUAUCCGGGUGGGUCCAUGCUACCUAUUCAAAUAUCUAGGUCGGCAACACUUCUGGGAAGAGCUCUACAAAAUAAAAAUAGAAAUACUUUAAAAUCAUUCUAAAAAAUAAUCUAUUUUUAAAUACAAAAUCAUUAAAACAGACUAAAACUUAAACCUAAAAGAUUCGAUUCAUAAUUUAUAUCAUACACUUUCUCGUACCAAACAUAUGGUAAACCUUAUUGGCAAGAUGAGGGCGAAUCUGCCUAUGACAGUGAUUUUUUUUUUUUUAUAAAUAUUUCUCCAUUUUAAAAUUACUUUUCAUACAUUUUUAUGAUUUAUUUUAUCAUUUGUUAAAGUGGUAAGCAAUCAUCAAGUACACAAAAUAAUUAUUUAUUUUAUUUAUUUAUAUUAUAUCUUCAACUUUAAGAGUGAAUUACUUUAACAAAGGAUAAAAUAAGUACAAGGACAUGAGUCUACUUUAUUUUAACAUUGACGCCUCAGUUAUAGUAUGAACAUUAGACCAUGUCUCAGGGAAAAAGUCUAAAAUUUGUUCUCACUGAGAAAUGUAAAAGCGAGAAAGUGUGAGAAAGGGUGAGAAAAUGUAAAACUGAUGGAGCUUUUUACAGUUGUCUGCGACAACAUGGGAGACUUAUUGCAUUGAGUAUUGUUCUAAUUGGCUCGAUAUGCCAUCAUUGUCCCACCCAUUAAAAUCUCCAGAUUGUUAGAUGGUACCGUACUGAAUACGAUAAGAAAACUUUAACUUUUUGAGGCGGGUGUUUUAUUUAUUUCCUUUUCCUACACCUACGAAACUUCAAGUGCAUGAUUGACAGAUUUCAAAAAUAAUACUACUAACAUGGACAUGUGGGCAUGAAACACGAUGAUGGAAGUAGGCCAAGGUCAAGGUUGGCGCAUGGGUUGGCCGCAGCUACCUUAAAACAAAUUGGUAUUAGUUAUCGGCCACAGAAUAUUGGAGGUACCACCAGAGCAUGACGCUUUCUGAACAACCCUGCAGGCGUUUGUUAGCUGACGUUUCCAUGCAUGACACAUCUGCCUCAUUUUUUCUUCAAUCUAAUGUGAAGUUUGUCUCCUCUAAUCUUCUUUUUCAAAAUAAUAUCCAUUCAAAUAUGCCAACGGAGUCAAUUUUAGUUGAAAAAUAGCUAUCAGCAAAAAGUUGUGGCCGUGGAGGAAAGACGUAACUGAUCUACCACAUGAUGAAUAUUAAAGUUACGGUUUAGUUGGUAUCACAAAGAACAGAUCUUAUCACUAAAAUUAGAUAAAUUUUUUUUUCACACUAAAUGGCCAAGAGUUGGUUUGGAAGGGGAUCUUGGUAAAGUGUUUUUAGUUUUCAACACUUAUAAGUAGAAUCAGUUAGUGUAGUAAUAUUUUUAAUUAUGUGUUGUAUGACAAAAAUUCAUUUUUGAAAUAUGAUUAAAUGUUUCUUUGGAUACACUCUUAUUUUUUGUUUUCAUGUUGAAGACACGAAAAAAACUAACUUUUGGCUAGACCCAUGAAAUUCAAAGUUCAUUCAUUGGAAAGGAUCCACCCAAAUCUGGUUCCAAAACAAUGGUAAAUUUAUCACUUUUUGUCAUUGACCAUAUCAAAGUGUAAUGUACCAAACCCAAUUUAGGGGUAAAAUCAUAAUUUAAAAAUUAUUAAUUAAUUAAAGUAAUUUAAUAGGGGUAAAAAAUUCUAUUUAUAUUUAAAACUCUUAGAUAUAGAUUAGAUUUUCUCUACCUUCUCUAUUCAGAAAACCCUUGUACAUAGAGGUCAAAAAGAUCAGAGAGCAUAGGGCUAAAGAUUUGGAGGUUUAGGGUUUGAAGAUCAAUUUUUUUAGGUAAGAUUUUUAAUCCUUAAAUUAAUAUUUUAUAUUCGUUAAUUAGUUUUGAACACUUUAGAUAUUCUUUAAAAUAUUUCAAUUUUGAUUAGAGUUUGUUUAAUUAAUUUAUAAUUCAAAAAGAUUAAAAAAUUAUGAAUAUAAUUUGAUUUAUUAAUGAAGAUCAACAGAUUUUGAUCACUUAAAUAAAUAGAUCUAGAAAAAAAUAGUAAAUAAAUAAAAUAAGAAUAGCAUGAUUUUCUAGAACGGUGAAGAAAAAAAAAAUGCGUGUGGACAUCCAAGGAAGAAAGAAAAAAAAAAGAAGAAAAAAAAAAGAGUGUUAUUAUUAUAAUAAUAAUAAUGGGUGUAGUUGGUGGCUUGGAGUAAUGGUGUUGUAGGGUAUUUGAAAGUAAUAAUAAUAAUAAUAUAUAUAUAUAAUGAGGUAUGGGGGUUAAGUGACAGUUGGAUUAUGGGAACAAUAAUAAUAAUAGUUUCUUGGUUUUAAUUUAAUUUAAAUAUAUAAAGAAAUAAAUAGUGAGGGUAAGAUUAGGAAAGAAAAUGAAUUUUACAAUAAUUUGAAAACUCAGUAAAAUAAUUUAUUAUUGUUUAGUAAGUUGAAAAUAAUAUUGGGUAGUAAUAAUAUUAGUAUGAGAAAUUAAUUAGGAUCCCUAAUACUAAAUAAAAUAUUUUUAGGAUUGUGAAAUUUUUACCUUUAGAUAAUUGUGUAUGAUAUUAUGUUAGGUGAUGAGUAAAUUCGUCAAGCUAAAAUACUUUUAAAUUUUGAGCGCUUAUUCAAGGUAAGGGAAAUUAAUGCAGAUAUUCGCAUUCUACUUGAGAAUAUGUUUUUUUUUAUCACCAAACUGAAAUCAAAUAAGAAAAUAACAUUAAAAUGCAUAACAUUUGGAAGUCUAAAACUAUGUACAAUUCAUUAAAUUUGUAAUACCUUUGAAACAAUAAUUGUAGGAUAAAAAAUUAUCUCUUUUAUGAAUCUCAUAACAAAGUAGCCACAUUCGAACCCUCCUUCUUGUCUUGGACACUAAUCGAUCAAUUAUAAAAUAACAUUAGUACUCAUAUAUAUAAAUGGUGCAAAUGCAUAAGCUAAUGUGUAAAGAAAAUUUUUUGGAUGUCACCUGCACUAGUUGCCAAGAUGGCUCCCUCUUAGAUGUUUUCUUUGCAGAUAUUUGAAGAGCCCUAUGUAAAUAGGUUCAAUGGGUACAUUUUUAAAAUAGGUAAAUGUUAUAUGUUUUAACAUAUAUAUAAAUAAUAAAAAAAAAUGUGUUUGAGAUGAAUGUAUUUAAAAAAAUAAUAAUAAUACUAUGAAAAAUAAUAGGAAGAACUUACAUGUUUAUGAUAUCCUUUAAGUCCUCACAUGGUUUGUGAUGCAUAGGGUCAAGAUAGUGGACUAUCAUUUUCCUUGGCUCAAUCACUACCAAGACCCAAUGAAAGCUAAAACAUUAAAAACAAAAGUAGCAUCUAAUUAGAAAUAUAAAUCAAUCAUAAAACCUCAAAUUAAAGUAUAAUAUUUGUCACUUACUUGGGGUUGUAGGGUAUGAAAACAUAUUUAGCAUCUUGGCACUCCAUUAAGCGUUUUGACAACAAUUGUGCUCUUUUCUCUGUUUGAGGAGCACUAAGGCCUGCUCGUGAUAUUGUAAAAGGAUUAACAAAUAUAAAUUGUGAUUCCUUUUUGGCAAUAUGUAGUUGAUCAUGCAUGUGCCUAUUAUUGUAUCAAAACACCAAAAGAAAAUUAUCAUUAGUCAUAUCCAAUCUCGUUCAACAUGGGCAACUCAUAUUAAAAAAAUAAAAACAAAUGAAAAUGAAAGUUGCACACCAUAAAUAGAAGGAGAUGCAGUUUGAUGACACCUCUAAAGAUGAAAUAAUGUAUUCACAAUCCUCUCUAGAUAUAUAUGUUUGAAAUUCGACACCAAAUAGUGAAAUGAGGAGCUGUAUUGGGUAUGUCUUGUCAUUACCAAGACAACCAUCCACAAAUUUCUGAAAAUUUUUAAUGACCGAAUGAUUUUGAGGCUUAGAUUUUCGAAUAAUUGGUGUCUUCACUAUCUUCUUCAUUCCUUUAUCCAACACCUAUGAAAAAGGAAGGAAUGUUAGAUAUAUAUACUCCUAAACAAUAAAAUACCAAGUUACAAUCAAAUUUACCAUAGGCAUAAAAUGACAUACCUGAGGAUGUUCAGUUUCAAGUAUGACAAGGCUUGUUGGCCAAUCAAGCUCAAAGCCAAUAGCAUCCCCAACAUUGAUAAUCUCAUAUGGAUUUGGAAAUGGGAGUCUAGCAUUUGGCUUGUGUGCAACAUUUAUCACAACCAACCUAUUCGAUCCUUUUUCUUCUAUUAGUGUACCAGUUGCAACAACAUUUCCUUUUCUUUCCACUGCUAAUUUACAUUUAAUUACCUUCAAUACAACAAAUAAUAUCACUUAUAUUAAUCUUGUAUUAUUAGUAAGUAAAUGCAUACCUUGUGUUUCAAUGGUGGUUCUGGUGGUUGGGGCUCUUCUAUCAUUUUAAACAUUGGUUUUUCUGCUACAACUGGUUGUAAAACAAGUUGUUGUCUCAUGUUAUUACUACCCAUAUCAGAAUGGGGUGUGGGGGAAGACAUAACUUGUCUUGUUGCAGCAUCUUCCAUCUCCUUUCGUACCAUUUCCCAUAUUUCUUCUUUGAUUUUUUUUCAUGUCAUCAGAUGGUUGAUGAAAGUAUGAGCUAGGCCUAACCAAAUGGUCUUGACCUACCAUACGUCCUGGAUUAUCAGGCUUACCCAAUACCUGACCUAAUAUGUCAUUUGGACCAGGUGGAGGUAGUCCAGUCUCCUUAGCAUUUUCUAGUAAUUCAUCCUACAAUAAAACAUAUAUUAGUAAUAAUUUGAUGAAGAUGAUUUACAUAUCAAUCAAAGACAACCAAUUUAAGGUAGCUAGAAAAUGAAUUGUUUUAAUACAAAGGAUAAUAGACAAAUUGGUGUAUAACAUAACUACUCAUAAAAAUGAUAGCAUUAAGCCUCUCGCCUAUUAACACCUAACGAUAUCAUCACAAACCAUAGUCACAUAGACGUACUAACACUAUAGGCUCUAAAAGGCAUAAAUAUGCUAACUUACUAUCAUGUUAAUCACUGGCUCUGUAAUCUUAUUAAACUUUCCUUUCUUCUCACGUGCUUUCUUCCAUAAAACACUUCUAUCAACCCUACCAAUACUCCCUUCUGCUUGUAGCUAUAAAAAUUUUAACAAUAAAACUCAUUAUUUCAAUAUGAUCAAGUUAAUAAAUGACAUUUAAAAAUUGGAAUAAUUUUCCUGUAAACAAAAUAUAUACUCCAUUUUUUUACCGAUAUUGAUAACUUACUAUAUCCUGCUCAAAACGUGCAUAUCCUUUUCUUCCAAGAUAAUGAUUGUAAAUGUGUUUAUCUUUUCUCGAUUUCUGAACCUUGUGAUAUUCCUAAAAAAUAUAGACACAAAAUUAGUACAUGGUGAAACUAUUUAAAUGUAAAAAUUGAAGAUGUAUUAAAAAUAAUGCUUAACAUUAAAGUGUUCAGAAAGUCUAUCUUUAACAAACUGUCUCCAAUGAUCCUCUUGUAUGAAUGGGUAGAUAGGAGGUGGCUUUUUCAGCUUUUCUGGGUCAUUCUUGAAAUACAAUAUAUAUUUCUUUGUCAACUUGUACUUAAAGGUUCGAAACCUGAUGCCCAUUAGUAGGAAACAAUUCCUCUUGGAAUUUUGAUUCACAUUAAAGCUUGUUUACAAAAUAGCAACCCAUGUUAGCUCAUGUUAAUGAAUGUAUACAAUAAUUAUAUAUGAAGCUAUAGAUAGACUUACCGUGAUCAAAUCCCAUAACUUCUCCUUAGUCUCUUUAGGGACUUUCCUCCAACUCUCAACAAUUAUUGGCACAUGGGUUCUAGUUAUUGUACCAAGAUAACUACUUAGUUCAACUGAAUUUUCCCCAAUGUGACUACCAAGGCUAUUGUAUUCAAUCUUGACCUUUAUCCCUUUACUUCGAUUUUUUGCAAUCUCUGGUUUCAAUGUACUACCUCUAUGCUUUACUUUUGGCAUUUCCUCUUCUUCUGGAUCCAUAUUUGUGUGGAAGAUAUCAAGUAAAUGUGCAAACUAGUACUUCACCAACAAACCUGUAAAAUGACUCAAAAGCAAGAUUAGUAUAUCCUUGCAUAUAUUUCCUAUAAUUAAAUUGGUCAUUCACAAAUAUAGUUUUUGAAAUUUCCUUUCAAAGUUUGUCUUGUUUUUUGAUUUCUUAUCAAUAAUGAAGAAUUUAUUUGUGAGGAUAACAAUAAAAUAAAUUAGUGCAUACAUAGUUUCAAUUAUUAUUUAUAGUUUUAAUGAAAAAGAAAUUUAUGAAUGAAAGUUUCAAGUUAUGUGAGCAUAAAAUCAAAACAUGAUAAUAAAAAAUAAUAUAAAUCUAGUUCCAUGGACAACAAAAAAGAUAGUUAAAUGAAGAUUGAAGUGGUACCUUUGAAUAACAUAUGUUUAUGAUGCAUGAAAGAAAUUUAGGAUGAUCAAUAUAUAUAUAUAUCAUGAGCAAUAUAUAGAAGCUAAGCUAUCAAAUAGGCCUUUUGCUGGACGUGGUUUACCACAGUCCAGAAUUUUUGUAAAUUUUGUAAAUUUUCAAGUUUUUUUCCAUACUUUUGAUCUUAGUUUUUGAUCUUAAAUCAUGUUUUUAUGUGUAUUUUAAUCUUUUUGAAUGAUCCCAGGUGGAAGAAAUUUCAAGGAGAUUGAAAGAAAAAAAAUCGGGUCGAAAUCGGAGCAAAAACAGAGGAAAAACAGAGCUCUGCGAAAUUUCGCAGAGUGAAGAAAACUUCUGCGAAAUGAGCAUUUUGUUGCCAAACCAUUCCGCAACACUGUAGAAGUCUCUGCGAGGGUAUUUCGCAGCUGUGAAAGCAAAUUUGGCACACGAGUGCCACUUCGCAGUACAGUAGCAUCCAUUUGGCAGCUGGGAAACGCAUUGCAAAGUGGAAAAGCGUGAUUUCGCACCAAAAGUCCCAUUCCGCAGGGUAUUUCGCAAUUGUGAAAGUGGUUUUGGCACACGAGUGCCACUUCACAGCACAGGAGCCAUCAUUUGGCAGCUGCGAAACGCAUUGCGAAGUGAAAAAGGCUGAUUUCGCAACAAAAGUCUCAUUCCGCAGAGGAUUUCACGGAUGCGAAAGCACUUUUGGCACACGAGUGCCAUUUCGCAGCACAGUGACCCUCAUUUCGCAGCUGCGAAAUGGCUGCGAAGUCCCAAAAAGUGAAAAAUCCCAAUUUCACAGCCGCACCCCCAUUUCGGCAAUUGUUGGACACAUCUCGAUCACUUUCUAAAGUUCAAAUUAUGCAUGUAAUAUCUCGUUUCAAAGCUUGGGAAGUCAGGAGUCCAUAGCUUCAAACGGUGCUCGAUUUGGAUUUGAAACGGAAAAGUUAUGGCCAUUUGAAGAUGAUUGUGCAAACCAUGAGCGGAAAUGUCGCACCUCCAUUUUGCUACUGUUGGACACAUUUUUGAAGCACUUCUUGGAGCUCAAAUUAUGCAUACGAUAUCUCGUUUCAAAUCUUGGGAAGUCAGGAGUCCAGUGCUUUAAACGGUAUGUGAUUUGGAGGUGAAAUGAAGAAGUUAUGGUCAUUUGAAGGCAAGCGCUCAAAGCUGAACGGGAAUUUCGCAGCCGAGACGCCAUUUGGAAGGGUGUUUCGCAGCUGCGAAACCACUUUUGGCACACGAGUGCCAUUUUGCAGCACAGUUCUCCUCAUUUUAAAGCUGCGAUACACCUGCGAAAUCACUUUUGAGCUACGAAAUAGCUAUGAAAUGAUCUCCAAGCUGCGAAAUGACUAUGAAAUGAUCUCCAAACUUCGAAAUGGCUGCGAAAUCACCUCCAAGCAUCGAAAUGGCCUUUAAAUUGCAAAAUUGACUUGCGAAAUGGAGGAAGGUUUGCAAAAACACUUUGCAAAGCCAAGAGAAGUUGCUAAAAUGCCAACAGAGCCCUGCGACCAUGCAUCUGAAGAGGAGAGCCCCGAGCACCUUGAGAUCACACACACAAAGUCUCUCACUCCAUUUCUGACCUCCUUAAACCAUCAAAUCCCAUAGCUACCAGCUGAGAGCUCCAGUUGAGGAAACUAUGUCACCUAAGGAGAUUACCAGAACAGAGGCCAAAGUCCUGAUCCAACCCAUUCAAGAGGCCACCACAGACGCAUCAGCUCCACAGGACCUUACCAUUACUUGAUCAUCUCUUUAAUUUUUGUCUUUACAUAUUAUAUUAGUAUAGAUAAUUCCAUGUUUUGAUGUCUUAUAUUCUGGGAUUGGAUGUAUUACUGAUGAUACAUCAUAUAUAGACAUCAUUUUUGUAUAAACUUGGCAUUUUUCUAUUUCCUCUACUCGCUAACUCUUAUGUUUUCUUUGAAACAUGUGGUUUCUCCUAUACGACUCAGACUCCAUAUCACUCAGGAGGUACCACUUCCUCCCUAUUUUUCAAUCGCUUUUGUCACAUUGAGGACAAUGUUUAGCUCGGUUGGGGGGAGAGUUGAGGAAGUAAGUAUUGUUAAUAAUGAUAAGUUAUUUUGGUAAUUUAGUUGCUUUUUGCUUAAUUUUUAAAAUUUUUGCUUUAAACUCCAUGGAUAUUAAGGAUUAACUCUCAAAAUUAAAUGAGAGAAGUCGAGUUUCAACUUGAUUACAUGAGUCUUAGAGUUUGUAUUAUGCUCUUCUAAAAGUUGAUGAAUUGUUGAAACUCCCAUUGCAUGAAAACUUAUCUCUUCCACCUUAAGCUAUUCGCACACACAUACAUUAGAUUCCGGUUAUAAGAUGUGAAACUAUCUCACCCUCUAAGCUUGAGAAAUCAUAAUUUGACACCUUUAACCUCUCUUUAAUAGUGUUGGGACACCUCAUAAAGACCAAUGAGUCUUUGUAGAAAAAGAAAAAAAAAAGAAAAAAAUAAAAUAAAAUAGAAUAAACUUCUUUACUUGCCUUGAAACCUGAGCAUGGUCCGAAGGGUUGGCUAUAGCCUUUAAAGCCUGGUGCCUUAAGCCUUUAUUGGUUGGGAGUCACCGAUCCUCUGCUUGUUACAUGGGUGAAUUGGUUAAGUUUAGUAAGUGAAAAGAAUUGUGAAUAAGAGGUGCGUUCCUAGCCUAUCAAGAGAUGGUUAAUUUUGCUAAGUUUAAAGAAAGACUUAGGUUGGGGGGAGAUGAUAGUUAUCCAUACUAUACUCGGAAGCUAAUCACAUUAACACUUAGCUUUUAGUGGAAGAAUUUGAUUUGAAUCUUUUGAGAGUGGAAAUUCUUUUGAUGCUUAAACUUGCAUAAUAUCCAUUCUUUGUACUCUAAGAUCAAGUGAAUGCUUUGACAACUCUUAUUAUAGGUUGAGUUUCACAUCUUUAUUGAUCCAUGGAUGUCCAUCAUGCCACUCAUAUCAUUUUUUGGAGUGAUUUGCAUGAUCCCUUUUAUAUAUAUUAUUAUAGUUACUUAGUUUUUAUCUCCUCCAUUGCUAAGGGACUAGCAAUGAGUCGGUUGGGGGGUGUGAUUACUACCAAAAAGUGCUAUUUUGUAGACCUAAUUAUAAUGGUUUUAAGCACCUUUGAGUAGUAAUCAUAUUCAUUUAACCCAAUUAAUUCAUUAAGGUCCUUAGUAAUUGGUUUUAACCAUUUUGUGGCAAGUUUACAUGUUUUUAUCAGCUUAUGAAUCAAUUCAAGCAUGUCAAAUGAUGGAGGAGCUACUUGAACAAGUUAUGGCAAAGCUUAUGGAAGCUCAAAUUCAUGAAGAAACCAAGCUUUGGAGCCUGAUAGUCCUUUGCCUUAGUUGUUCAAAGUAUGCAAGGAAAGAGCACUGGAGAGAGAAAAACAGAGUGAAGAAAACAGAGGACGGCAGCUGCAGUCUUCUUUCGCACUUUUGGAGCACUUCCCAAAGUCCAUUUUCUACAUUCUAUAUACCAUUUGAAAUCUCAGGAAGUCAAGAAUCCAAUGCUUCAAACGGUGCGCAAUUCGGAGUUGAAAUGAAGGAGUUACAACCAUUGCAAGCAGAUCACUCCAAGCUGAAGAAAGCAUUUUGCAAAGUGUUACGAAAUCACCCUUUUGUUGCGAAGUGAUUUCGCAGCAUUUUUGAACAGUAGGAUGUUUCUCCUUCUGACGAUGCCCGAUUUAUGCCGCGAGAAGGAAGCUGGGAACCUCAAGGUGGAAGCCAACUUCGCAGCCCUAUGAAGAGAGCUUGGUGUUGCGAAAUUAUUUCGCAACCCUCUUGAGUGUCUGCGAAAUUUCGCAGACACCAUUUUUCUCCUGCGAAAUGGUUCCUGAAGCCUCCAGAUAUUUGCUACCAACAUGGGAGAUAUUUUACAUUAGAUUUUUGUUGUCUAAAUCCCAAAAUACUCCUUGUAAACCACCAAUUACAAGAUUCCUUAGCUUUUAAGUUAGUAAAAAGACUAAAUAUCAAUGUAAUAAUUAGUUUUAUAUUAUGUUCAUAUAAAUACCUCUCGGGAGUCUGUUCCAGGGAGAGGAGAGGAGCUUUUUGUAAAGUUNNNNNNNNNNNNNNNNNNNNNNNNNNNNNNNNNNNNNNNNNNNNNNNNNNNNNNNNNNNNNNNNNNNNNNNNNNNNNNNNNNNNNNNNNNNNNNNNNNNNNNNNNNNNNNNNNNNNNNNNNNNNNNNNNNNNNNNNNNNNNNNNNNNNNNNNNNNNNNNNNNNNNNNNNNNNNNNNNNNNNNNNNNNNNNNNNNUCAUCAAAAUUUAUAACCUAUAACACCAUAUGGGAUUCAUGCCCAGUUGGUGUGCCAGCUGAUUUGUGUCCAGGUGGUGCUCCUUGAAUGAGGGAGUAAUCAUCAAAAUUUAUAACCUAUAACACCAUAUACUAGGGUAGCAAAGACAAAGCUACUAUAGUAUAGCGGCUCUAGGAUCGUUCACUGGGAAGAAUUAACAAGCUAUCAAUGAUACCAAUUCAAAGUGAAUUGGCCUUGUUUCAUUUCAAGGUUAGCUUAAGAAGUAAAACACAAACUUUGAUUGGUAAAGGUUUAGACUUAAACUAACUAUCAUAACAGAAGUUUGGAAUAAUUUAGGAAGAAAAACAUUCCUUGGAGAGUUAGGUUCACUGGGGUGGUUCCUCAUGCAAAAGACAUAGCUCCGAUCGGAUGGUUCAUUUCCUCGCAUUAGAGAUUCAACAUAUAGUCAAUUCCCUAACCGGUGUUGUACAGAGACUCCUUCAAUUAGAUUUCACUUUAAUUCUCUCACUGAUGCAACUUGCAAUGGUUCAUGCCUCUCACGAGCACUUACCAUUCAAGAUGAUCUUUAACCUUGGACUUCCCUUCACAAACUCGCAAGAGAUAACUAAUGGAUGUCUCGUUGGAGUCCAAAAGCUUACCAAGUGUUGGUAAUUCCAGAAAAUCCUACCUUAAAGCCACCUCCCAGAGGCUCGCAAGGGGUAAACUAGUGCAUUUCCAUGGUUGGAAAUCACUUGCCUUACCAAGUGUUGGCCCAGGUGACUCUAAGGUGUUUUAAGUUAACUAAAAACAUAGAAAUCAUUAAAGGAUUUCACUUCCUCUUCAUUACUAGCUAAAACCACAAAGCUCUGCAUUCUUGCACUUGGAACCUUCCCCAGCAACCUUAGCUCCAAGGAACUAGAGGUUUAGUUACUCAUUCUCUGGGGAAAACUCCUCAGAGAAUUCAUAACUUAGAAAUAAAAUAAAAAUACAAAGUGAGAAGGUAAGGCAGUAGAAAGAACUGAACUUUACUUGCUUACCAAAAACUUUACAAAAAGCUCCUCUCCUCUCCCUGGAACAGACUCCCGAGAGGUAUUUAUAUGAACAUAAUAUAAAACUAAUUAUUACAUUGAUAUUUAGUCUUUUUACUAACUUAAAAGCUAAGGAAUCUUGUAAUUGGUGGUUUACAAGGAGUAUUUUGGGAUUUAGACAACAAAAAUCUAAUGUAAAAUAUCUCCCAUGUUGGUAGCAAAUAUCUGGAGGCUUCAGGAACCAUUUCGCAGGAGAAAAAUGGUGUCUGCGAAAUUUCGCAGACACUCAAGAGGGCUGCGAAAUAAUUUCGCAACACCAAGCUAUCUUCACAGGGCUGUGAAGUUGGCUUCCACCUUGAGGUUCCCAGCUUCCUUCUCGCGGCAUAAAUCGGGCAUCGUCAGAAGGAGAAACAUCCUACUGUUCAAAAAUGCUGCGAAAUCACUUCGUAACAAAAGGGUGAUUUCGCAACACUUUGCAAAAUGCUUCCUUCAGCUCGGAGUGAUUGGCUUGUAAUGGCUGCAACUUCUUCGUUUCAAAUCCGAAUUGCACACCGUUUGAAGCAUUGGAUUGUUGACUUCCUGAGCUUUGAAAUGGUAUAUAGCAUGCAUCAUUUGGACUUCAGAAAGUGCUCCAAAAGUGGCCGCUGUGACUGUCAUCAAGAAUAUGCUCUAUGGCAGAUUCUCUUUGCUUUUUCUCCUUGCAAUCCGGAUUUACUCUUGUCAAAUGACUUCUAAGCUUUGCCCAAGAUCCUCAUAACUCUCCUCAGUCUUGACUUGCUUUGGUGAUCAAAAUACUAACAAAAACACCAAAACUUACACAAAGUGAUUAAAAUUGCUUUAAAGGAUCCUUAACAUGCCAAUUGAGUUAAAAGGCCUAAACUACUACUCAAAAGUGUUUAAAAGGAUUAAUUAUAGGCUAUCAAAUAGCACUUUUUGAGUAGUAAUCAAUGAUCAAUAUAUAUAUAUAUAUAUAUAUAUAUAUAUAUAUAUAUAUAUAUAUAUAUAUAUAUAUAUCAUGAGCAAUAUAUAGAAGCUAAGCUAAUGUGCAACUCAUGAAAACAUUAGAGUUCGUUUAAUUAAUUUGUAAGUCAAAAAGAUUAAAAAUUUAUUAACAUAGUUUGAUUUAUUAAUGGAGAUUGACAUAUUUUGAUCACUCAAAUGAAUAGAUCUAAAUUAUAUAAUAAUAAAUAAAUAAAAUAAGAAUAGCAUGAUUUUCUAAAAUGGUGAAAAAUAAUAAUAAUAAUAAUAAUGUAGAUGUGUGUCGUGUAGCAGAGGGUUUAAAAGAGAAAAAAUAAAUGCGUGUGGAUAUCUAGGGAAGGAAGAAACAAAAGAAGAAGAAAAAAAAAGUGUUAUAUAUUAUUAUAAUAAUAGUAAUGGUGUAGUUGGUGGCUUAAAGUAAUGGUGUUGCAGGUCUUUGAAAGUAAUAAUAAUAAUAAUAAUAGUUUCUUGUAUAGGUUUUAAUUUAAUUUAAGUAUAUAAAGAAAUAAAUAGUGCGGGUAAGAUUAGGAAAGAAAAUGAAUUUUACAAUAAUUUGGAAACUCAGUAAAUUAAUUUAUUAUUGUUUAGUAAGUUGAAAAUAAUAUUGGGUAGUAAUAAUAUUAGCAUGAAAAAUUAAUUAGGAUCCCUAAUACUAAAUAAAAUAUUUUUAGGAUUGUGAAAGUUUUUCCUUUAGAUAAUUGUGUAUGAUAUUAUGUUAGGUGAUGAGUAAAUUCGUCAAGCUAAAAUACUUUUAAAUUUUGAGCGCUUAUUCAAGGUAAAGGAAAUUAAUGCAGAUUUUUAUAAAAGAAAAUAAUUUUCUUUUUAUAUUGUAUUUUGAAGUGUGUAAAAAUAUUAAUUUUAUCUUUACGCAUGAAUCAAAUAUGUGUUUUGUAUGAAAAAUAUAUUUUAGCAUUUUCUUUGUUUAUGAAAAAUGAAAAAUUUAGGAGAUAUGAUGUUUUGUUUUGUAAGUUUGAAUUUAUGAAAUAAAGUGUUUGACUCUAGAUUAUAUGACCCUAGUCAACGGAUUAUAAAUGUUGACAUUUUCGAUGCUAGUCAACAGGUUAUAAUAGUUUAUAUUAUAUGACCUAAGUCAACGGGUUAUAAUAAUUGACCUUAUGACCCUAAUCAACAGGUUAUAAUUGUUGACAUUUGGUUUUGUUCACCUUAAAUGGAACAAAUUUGAAACUAAUUACUCAAUUGUGAAGUCUCACCUAAUUGGAAACCAUUUUUCGUAUGAUAAUCAGAGUAAAGAUAUUUUGAAUGUAUUCGAAUUGGUUUUGAUGAUAAAUUGUUUUGAAAUGGAUAUGAAAAAGUUUUGUUGAAAAGUUUGAAUGUAUUAGUAUUUUGAACUCAAAAGUUUUUAUGAAAAUAAGUAUAUGUCAUAUCUCUUGUUUGCAAGUAUGAUUAAAAAUGUUUUAUCCAUGAAACUAUAUUAAUGUUCCUUAUUGGGCUUUGAGUUCAUUCCCUUUUGUGGAUAAUCUUUCAAGUAACCUCAGUUCGGGCGGGGAGUGAUUAUUAAGAGGGAAAUUUGGCUUUAUUAGGACAUUUAUUUAAACUUUCUUUAUUUUGGACAUUGUUUAGAUGUUAAAACUUAAUUCUCGUUUGAAUUAUUUUGAGUUUAGAGUUAUUUGGACAAUAACACUUUAGUUGAUGUAUUAGUUUUUUUUAAAGUUGAUACUUUGAGAUUUUAGAAUUUUGUCAUACUACUUUGAACGGGAAUUUGGUAAUUGGUAAAUUUUUAGUUACAAUACAAAUGUUUGUGUCAUUUCCACUUUGAGUCUUUCGGCUUGAGGUGUAAAAUGACCGUCAUGUCUUUGGAGUGGGUUUUGUGGCGUGAUAGAGUUGUGACAUCCCACACCGGAUAGAGGGGAAAGUUCCUAACACUGUAUAAGUAUGGAUUCCUCUUAAACUUGUAAACUCGUUUUAAAGCCAUAAGGACCCCUUUGGGUUUAAAGUAGACAAUAUCUAUACGGUUGAGAGCGAAUCGUUACAAAUAGUAUCAGAGUUGAUCCUCGACCUCGGUGUGGGGAUUUGUUUGGCCUCGUGGGGGGUGUUUGUCUGUUUGGCCCCGUAAUCCCAUGGGAUACAACAAAGACGUUAUGUCUGCACCGAGUGAGGUGUUUGUGACAUCUCAUACCGGAUAAGGGGGGAAAUUCCUGACGCUAUAUAAGUAUGGACUCCUCUUAACCCUAUAAACACGUUUUAAAGUCGUGAGGGCCCCUUUGGGUUUAAAGCGAACAAUAUCUAUACGGUUAGGAGCGGGUCUUACACAAAGAAUUUUCCACAUCCCAACAAACCUGCUACACUUGCAAACAAGUCAGAAAUCUCAUCACGCUAUCCAUCUCUUAUUAAAAAAUCUAGAGAAAUAAGAAUUUUAGCCCUUGUCCCUUAUUUCAAUGGAAGAAUUCCAAACAUCUGUCAUCUACGCAUUCUUAAAAAUCAACAAAGCAAAAGGUGUGAUGGAAACAACACACAUAAAAGGUUAUCACCGCAUUACCUAUCUUUCCAAAAAAGCACCCUCCACCCAUUACCCACCAUAAAAGAACAUUUAAAUAUCACGAUAUCCCAAUCUUUCUUUAUUACUUUCCACAAUCCAACCCUAUACCCCUUUUUUACCUUCUUUGUUCCCUCUAUUACCUCCUUUGUUCCUCCUGAAUUGAAGGUUAAAAUCACACUUAUUCAUUUGAAGCAUGAGGUGUGUUAGAUUCAAGAUCAUACCUCAUAUCUAGGCCCCAAGUCGCAUGACUGCCUUCACUUUUAUGUAGUGCUGUUUUUUAAUUCCUAAAUUAGUCAUACUUUUCUUAGUUAAUGAAAGCCUAAUGUCAUGAAAAUAUCUUAUAAUCUUUUAUAAUAAUAUAUAUAUGAAUUAAAGGAAAAUAAAAAGGUCAAAAAGUGAAAAUAAAGAGAUAUUGUAAUCCAUAUAUCUAAAGGGUCUUUAAAUGAAAGAUUAAGAAGUACUAAUCUCAAUAAUUCUUUUAGUGAAGGUCCUAUGUCACGAUGAUACAUUUAACGGAAACCGCGUACCAUGCUUUUACCCUUCAAUCAAGGAAGACUAGAGAUUUAAAGAUCCUAACUUAUGGAAAAGUGAUUCAAAUUUAUAUAUCAUGAAUUUAAGUGUUUAAUAUAUCCAUUUUUUCUUUUUAUUUUAUUUUCUUUGUAUUUUUCUAAAAAAAUUUUGGAAAUCGAUCGUAACCGUAAGGAAUGAUACUUUUUGGAGUAAACUUCAAAACACAUUAUUGAAGCAUAAAUAUAGAUCUUAAAAAGCCAAAUUAAUUGCGGAGCAAUCCAAGUUCUUGUCCCACUUCCGUAGUUUAAAAUUUAAGUCCAAUUAUUUGAGGAGCAAUCCAAGUUCUUGUUCCACUCCCGUGGUUUAAAAUUUUGUGGGAGCGUUGAUGCUUCACGAUUACAAAGUUAUUAAAGAUAAAUAGUUUCUAAUUUUAAUAAUAGAAAAUAAUUUUUUUUUAAAUGAGAAAAAAAAAGGUUUGAUGACAAAGUUCGGAUUAAAAAUAAUUUUUUGAGAAUUUGUCAUGAAUAUCUUAUAGAAUAAAUUUGAGCUAUUUUUAAUUAUUAUUAUUAUUUUUUUUACAAAGUGUUAUAAAAAACGAUUAAAGAAAUAAGGAACGCUUUAAAAACAUUGGCAUUAUAUAAAAGUGUAUGAUACAUUUAAGCAAAAAUAAGUUGUGAAAACUGUUUUCUAUAAUUAAACUUUGUAACAAAAUUUCAUUCCUAAACCAAUUAAAAACAAUUUUUAACGCUGUCAAAUAAAUUGUAAUUUUCUUUUUUAAAACCUAGGCGACCAUUCAUGCAACCUUCACAUCCUUGUAGAAAUCAAGUGGGAUUAGCUAAAUGAUUUUAAUAUUAAAACUAUUGGAUGCCAGUUAAUUUUUAUAUAAAAUAGUCAAAACUUUAUCCAAUAAUAUCAUAGUUAAGAUUAUGAAUUUAGACAAGAAGGUUAAAGCCUAACCUAAAUUCUACAAUUUUAUUUAUAUUUUAUUUUUUCUAAGCUUCCCGAUGUAAAGUGGUAUUUCUCCCACGUGAAUUUGAUUGGUUGAUAUCUAAAUUUAUGAAAAAAAAAUUUGUACUUUUCAAAUAAAUUUUUAAAAUAAAAUUUAGAUUAUAAGAGUACGUUUUAUAGUGAUUUUAAAAAGUAUUUUUAAUUUAAUUUUUAAGUAUUAAAAAAUCAAAAACACUUUUUAAAAUAAGUACGAAACACAAUUUAACUCUCUUAAACAUUUGUUAAAAUUGACCUAUCAAUAAAUAAAUUAAAAAGCAAAUAACAAAAAAUUGAUCUCUCUUUCUUUUCUUCUUCUUUUUAUUUUUUAUUUUCAUUGCGUGCAAAUGGGAAUUUAAAAAAAUUACCGAAAGUUUGCGUGAGGUUUUUUAAAUUUUGUUGAAUAUAAGAUUCCCAUUAAGAUAGCGACCAAACACAUGUUAAAGGGCAAUUGCAUCCCCUUGUAAUACGUUUGACAAUAAAACAUCGAGAAGGGUAUCUACGCACCUAGGACUGAUAAUUUAUCAUGGAAAGCUUAUUUUAGUAAGGCGUUCACAUUCUGAAAUAUAAAAUUAUUGAAAUAAACAAGGCAAUAUUGUUGAACGUUGGAUCGAUGAAGCAGCUGACCGUGUUGGAUGUUGGUUAUCCACGCUUAGUCAUGGAAACAGUGACAUUUACGAACUCAGUCUUCUCUCUGGACAUGCGAUCAGCCACAAUCUUUUGGUACCUGCUGAACACUUCCUCUAUUAUUCCAUCACCGAAAUAGCUUACCAGCAAUGGCUCCGCCACUGCUCUCAUCAACUUGGCCACAUUGUACCCACCAUCUUCGUGAGCAUCUGAUGGGCAGAAUUCACCGUGAUACGCGUUCCAGUUGACUUCAGAAGCCUCCAGCCUAUUUAUGGUAAAGGAUCCUUCCUUUUCAACCUCACAUUUUACUUCAGCUGGGGAUGGUGUAUACUGAGGAAUAUUGAAGGAAUCCAUUUUCUCCUCCUCUACGAGCCCCUGCAUUUAAAAAUCUUUAAAUUACAUAUGCUAUUGCUGAAUGAUUUAAUCUAUACAACUUGGCAACAUUAAGGCUUGUAUGAAUUGAAUGUGCACCUCUGCCACCAUAUCGUUGAGAGCCACAGCUAAGAGCUCCCAAAUGUAGCAACAUUCUUUGCUAGAGGGAUCUUCACUUAUUCUUCCUAAAAAUGUUAAAACCAUACUCCCUCCUUCCAGUAGUUCCUCAGACCGACACCUGAGGAACAUGGAGAAAUCGGUUUGGAAUUGCUCAUAGUAUGCUUUAAGCACGCUUGGUGGGCUCGAACUUGCCAUGUAAAUGUUCCCUUUGUUACUCUCCAGUCCUCGAGGAACCUGAUGAACGAUUGAAACUUCUAACUUACAUGCUUUCUUCUUGGUUAAUACUAAAUCAUCAUAAACCAUUAUUUAAUUAAGGGCAAAAAGUCACCUGAGACAGCCAUUGGAGACUGUAAGAAGAAUGGACAAAAUGAAGACUUUUGCCCAGGAAGAGCCUGCCGUAGAAAGAACCUGGAACUCCGGUUACAAAACAUGAUUCAGCGCCUGCUCCCAUUGUUUUCUGAAGAUCUUUUUGGAAAGUGGGCAAGGAUUUGAAAAUGGUGUUGAAAUCAUUCCCCGGCAGAUCAUUCAAAAACACUUGAAUUUCGGGCAAUUCAUGCCCCAUUUUCUUGUGCACCUUGUCCACUGUAGUGACGAAUUCCAAGACUGCAAACAAAGUGUUGGGUCCAGAAGAACAACCCAAGUCUGCGAUACAUAGCCUGGCCGGAAAGUUGUUGCAGAAGAGAUUUGAUAUUGCUUCGUCGGUUAUGGGCUUUGUCAAGGAUAUUACUUUUUUCUGCACCAUUAAAGUAGAGUUUGUUAUUGAAAACUUUUAAAAAAAAACGGCAGUAUGUGACACCUGCAUGACAUAAAAACAAAACAUCGAAAAUACAUGGGUGCUAAUUAUCAAUCAGUAUGUCUCGACUAUACAUUCUUAUUCAAUAAAAGGAAGCAGCUCAUAUAUAUAACAUAUGCAUAAAUAUUGAUGAAGAAUUAAAUUCAGCAAACACACCUGAAGUAGUGAGUUUUGUGCGUAACUGGUAUCCCCAUUUCCUCCCUUCAUGCAAAGCACUUGCACUACUUCCAUCUCUCCCUUCCUCCCUCCUCGCUAAUUGCUCUCCCUCAGUUGGCAAUUGGAAUGUGAAUUGUGUUGAAGGAGAUGCUCCCUAUUUAUAGAGCUUGGAGUCAGGUCGUUGUGGAAUUAAUUAUUUCAUCUUCCAUGAACUCUACUUCCACGGAACCCCGCCAGUCAUUAUUGGUUGAUUAUUCAAGAGAGAAAGUUUUUGGGUUGUUGGGAUACAUAGUCCAAAUUAAAUCGGAAAAUUAACCUCUCCUUCCAAUUUUUGUGAGAAACGACCCACUUGGACACUUCUAUCCCUCUUUCAUCUACUUCCAAACAUUAUCUUCUCACUUAUUUUAUUCAUUAUAUAACACAUUUAUCUAUUUUAUUUUACUUUUUACUUUCAUAACUAUUUUAUUUCUCAAAUAACUUAUUCUCGCUUUCAUUUCAAAUGUUUAUUUAAUUUACAAAUUUAAUAAAUUUUAAUUUUUUAUUAAGGAUGUUCACUUGAACCAUAAGCGAGUUAAAUUUGACUUACAAAAAACUUAGGUGGUGUUUAUUUUUUUGGCUUUUUGCUUAAAACAAUUUAGCUUUAGAAUUUAGGUUGUUUGUUUUUCUAUUUUUUUAUGACUUAUUAUAAAUUUUUUAUUAAAUAGAAAAAGUCAAAAUAUGUAGCUUUUUCUAAAUAGAAAAAUAGUAUAUUGAUUUUUUUUACUUUUUAAUACUUAAUAGAAAUAAAAUACUACAAAAACAAACAAUCUAAUACUUAACACUAUUAAGUAUUAAGGUUCUAUUUAGAAUUAAGUAAAAAAACAAACACCACCUUAAUUAAGAUUAAAAUUUUCAAUUAUAAUAGAAACCUAAAUUAUAUCAUAAUUAAAUUUUAUUUACAAGUAAUUUAACUAGGGUUAAAAUUUCAUUUUAACUAAAAAUUAAUAACUUGAUUAUAAAGACGUAAACUAUAUAUAUUGUUGUUAAGUUUAAUUAAAAAGAACUUAAUUAAUGUUAAAUUUUUGUUUAAUCUAUAAAAAAAAUGUUUAAGAUUAGAUUCUUAAUUAAAAUAUUCAUCUGAACUAUAAAAAAUCCCAACAAAAAAAACUGUAAGAACAACCAAAAAAAACUUCAACCAAAAUCCCAACACAAAAGAAUCUCAACCAAAAUCCCAUCUGACAAAAAGCCCUAAUAAAAAAUAAUUACAAAAAACCCUACCUAAAAAUAAGUAUAAAAUAUCCUAACCAAGAUGUCACUGUUAAAAACCUAACCAAAAUCCCAACAAAAAAAACAUCUAUAAAAAACCACAAUAAAACAUCAACUAAAAAAAAUUAUAAAAAAUCUCAACAAAAAAAUUGCAAAAAUCCAAACAAAAAAAAUCACUAUAAAAAAAAUCACAAAAACCCUAACAAAAAAAUAAAGAAGAAGAUGAACGAUGUUAAGAAAAAGAAGGAUGAGAAAGUUGUGGCUGAUUUUUAUGGGUUGAUCUUUGUUAUGGAUUUUUUUAGAAAAUUCAUUCCCGAAGAAAACUAGUUUCAGAAAUGAGAGGGAAAUGUAAUUUUUGAGGAAAUAAAAAGGAUAAUAAUGUCCAAAAUAUGUCAUUUUUUCAAAGAAUAAAUGGGAGAUUAUUUUUCCAAUUUCAGAAGUAUCGGAACACUGAUGCUACAUGGUGGGUAGGACUCCUAACAUGCAUCUACCAGAACAGACUAUACGCAAUAUAACGCGCCUCAUGGCAUGCCGUUCGCCAAUGACUCGUGUGUCCCCUUAUGGUUCAUCUCCAGUCCUGGAGGCCUCAGGCUACCUACUGAAAGAGCAACAAGUAAAUCCUAUUGGUCAGAUGGGGAGGAUCCUACAUGAUAGCGUGAGGUUCGUUUUACAGUAUUCUAGCUUAAUACAAUAUGUUUAAGAAAAAACUAAAAUUAUUUGUCACUCCUAGAUUUGUAUGUCAAACUAACAUUACAUAGAAACAGAUUAAUAAAUCAGUCCAUGUGUAGCUGGCGUUUCAUCAGGUACUGAUCAUUAUUGGGCGGUGUUGGCUUCAUAUAUUAAAAUGAUGACACGUACCAAGCGAAAUAAGAUAAGUUCUAGCUUUUUCCUAUUAAAAAAAUGUGACGUUGAUGUUUCAUAUGAUUCAUAUAUAUCUACUCAAAUAAUUACACACACAAAAAAAAUUAAAAUUAAAAUUAAAAUUAAAAUGGGUCUACUUACUUCCUUUGCGUACACGAAAUUUAAAGCAAGUGACAAUUGACAAAAACAAUACUCGUAGCGUGGCCAUGAAACACGAUGCUGAAAAAGUAGGGGUAGUAGAAGGUGACGCUGGGUGCAUGAGUUGGCCACUAGUAUUACCAUAGCCCGGUCCGCUUAAAACAAAUUGGGAUUAGAUACAGCAGCCACAGAAUACUGAUGGUAGCGUGACGCUUUCUUAACAACCCUGCAAACGUUUCUUAGCUGACGUUUCCAUGCAUGACGCAGCCUCAUUUUUUCUUUAACAUAAUGUGAAGACCAUGUCCUUGCCGUCUCUUUCAAAAUAAUAUUCAAUCAAAGAUGCCGACCGACUGAAUUACUUUAGUUGAAAAAUAGGUAUGUAUAAAAAGCUAUGCGCUUGUAGGAAAGACCUGAUCCACCGAAUGGACCAGGUCUAGUUCUGAUCCCAUGAAUAUUAGUGUAUCAGUUGGCAUCUUAUUUUGGUUAAUAAUUUUUUUUUCAUUUAUUCUAAGGAAAACUAGUUUUCUUCAAUUAAGCCAGAUAAUUAUCCUUUUCUACAGUGUUUUCAUAACAAUGGGAGGUACAAAGACAGUGUGAGAAAUCUUAAUUUGAAUCCAAUUUCUAUCAUCCAAAAAAUAAAUCAAUGACCGCCCAUCUUACAAUCAUUUUGAAUGAUCAAUUGACACACAUUAUGAUAUCCAUAAAUAAGAACGAGUAAACACGUGUUUUUUGACAACUACAUAGUUCCUUGGUUGAGGAGCCUAAUGUGAUACCUAAAUUAGCCUUCACAAUUAAUUCAACCAUGAGGUGUAGGUUCUAAAGGCUUUCAAAGCCAAGGUGACUAACUAGUUAGUAGGUGUGACACAUAUUUUUCACAUGCAUCUUUAUGCAAUGGCUAGAUUGUUACAUUGGAUUUGGAAAAUAAUUUAUGUUUUGGGGUGACUAUUAUUUAUUUAAAAUUUGAUUUUUAUUUGUUUUUGUAAUCACCCUUAUUUUAUUUAUUUUUUAAAGCAAAAAAUAAAACAAUAAAGAAAAAUAUCAAUUAAUAAUAGAAAAAACAUAUUAACAGAUGGAGAAUGGAUUAUGGGGUCAAGUUAUCUUGUGGGAAGGUAUUAGGAAUGUCAAUAUGGCAUGAUUAUAACAUAUUUGUUGGGAGUUAAUAGAAAUUCUAGAGAGUAUUCACUUGCAAAUGUUUAACAAAUCCUCCACAAUAAUAACAAUCUCCCAAGAGAGAACAAUAAUAGUGUAAGAACAUCCAAGUAAAAUGAGACCAAAUAUAACAUGGAAAAAUCCUCCUAAGAGAGAUAAAAAACUAUGGAAAAAAUUUCUUCUAAUUCGAUAAAAAUAGAACACAAAUAAAUUCCCAUUAGUUUAUUCAUCUUGAUAACUAGUUGAAAUAUAUAUUAAUUUUGAGGUGGAAUCCAUCACCUUAAAAAAAACAAAGAUCAUAGGAAAAGAAUAAAAGUGUUAAGAUAGAGUUAUUGAAAGUAUAACAUGAUGUAACAAAAUAAAAUUUCAUUAAUAUAUUUAUUUACUAUGAUUUCUAGUUCUCAUUUUAUAUUUUUUAUUACAUUAAUUAGUUGUUUAAACAUUUACACAUAUAUCACUUAUAUUGUACAUGACUUUAUUGUAUUAAGAGUUGUAUAAAUAAUUCAAGUCAUGAGUUCCUUAUAAGAUGAUGAGAAGUUCAUAAUUGGUUUGUGAAAUUAAGCAAUUUGUAAAAGAAUAUAGUGCACUACUUUCUAAUUAGAGAGAUUACUUGUUUUGAUCAUCAUGAUAGUUUUUUUAUGAUUAAUGCACUAGUAUGCAUAAUUACAUAUUAGACAAGGGUUAUGAUGAAUCAUGACUUUGGUUAUUAGGUAAUCAUAGGUCAUCAAAUUACUGUGUUACAUAGGUUCUCAAUCUUAGAGAAUGUGAACUAGAAGCAUGAACUAAGUGCUUAUCUGCAAAUGUGUGCAUUUAUGUACAACAUUGAAGCAAUACCACAACAAGGAUUUUAUAGCAUGGGUUGAGUAGGAUAUUGAAGUAUAGGAAGGUAGCUAGACCUUUUUAGAGAAUUAUUCUUGGUAUUGGAAAGGGUACUUACCCAUGGCAUGAUAAUUGGCAUCCAAUAGACAAUUUUUCUUUUAGGUUUUCUCUAAGAAAUUUUCAAGUCCUUAAUCCUGAUCAAGCAAAAGUGGACUCUCUAAUAACUAAAGGGACUUGAAAAUAGUCAAUUGGUAGAGGAGUUUAUGCCAACGUUGGGGGUAUCAUUGAUACUAUUCUAGCUUAUUUUUUACCUUAGUUGCAAUAAGAAGAUGAUCAAGUUUUCUUGACACCCACAAUUCACUACAUCUUCCUAUUCAACUGAGUAUUUUAGUAUGAUUAAUUAUACAUGUACAUUAGGCUUGACAAUCCAAGAUGUACUCUUUUGAUAUGUAUCUAAUUUAACUUUUAAUUCAAAGUUCAUUAUACUUUUCUUUUUCUAAAAGAUGCAAAGACUUUUUUUUUUUUUUUUCACAUUAUCAUGAUUAUUUAAAAAAAAAAUAGCCUUUAAACAUAACAAAAGCUUGAAUUAAAAGUUAAAAUAAGGAGCAUUCAAUUGAAGCAUGAGGUGUUAGAUCGACACCUUAUCUGCAUCAUAUCUCAUGUCUGGACCCCAUGUUGAAUUAUUGCCUUCACUUCCUUUUUUUUUUUUUUUUUUUGUUCUCUUUAUUUCCUUUGGUAGUGAUACUCCUUUUCUUAGUUAAUGAAAACUCCUUUGGUACUGAUAUUCCUUUUCUUAAUGAAAACCCAAGUGUCAUGAGAAUAUCUUCUAAUUUUAUAUAAAAUAUAUAUAAAGGAAAGAAAAUGCCCUUGUACGAUUAUAUUAAUUUUUCUCAUAGCUCUUCCUAGUCUAAAGUAUUAUUUUUCCGUAAGCAUUUGAUUGGUCAGUAUCUAAUUAAAUUUAUUAAUGAAAAUUUUAUGCUUCCCAAAUUAAUUUCUAAAAUGAGACGGACAUGAUGAGAUUAUUUAAAAAGAGAGUCUCUACAUAAAUAGGGUUGAUAAUUGAUCAUGGAAAGCUUAUUUAGUAAGACGUACAUACGUGCUCUGAAAUGUAAAAUUAUAAUUGAAGCAGCCAUUUUGAAAGAUGGAUCGAUGAAGCAGCUGACCGUGUUGAAUGUUGGUUAUCCACGCUUAGUCAUGGAGACAGUGACAUUUACGAACUCAGUCUUCUCUCUGGACAUGCGAUCAGCCACAAUCUUUUGGUACCUGCUGAACACUUCCUCUAUUAUUCCAUCACCGAAAUGGCUUACAAGCAAUGGCUCCGCCACUGCUCUCAUCAACUUAGCCACAUUGUACCCACCAUCUUUAUGAGCAUCUGAUGGGCAGAAUUCACCGUGAUACGCGUUCCAGUUAACUUCAGAAACCUCCAGCUUACUUAUGGUAAAGGAUCCUUCCUUUUCAACCUCACAUUUUACUUCAGCUGGGGAUGGUGUAUAUUGAGGAAUAUUGAAGGAAUCCAUUUUUUCCUCCUCUAUGAGCCCCUGCAUUUAAACAUCGUUAAAUUACAUAUGCCAUUGCUGAAUGAUUUAAUCUAUACAAAUUUGGCAACAUUAAGGCAUGUAGAAAUUGAAUGUGCACCUCUGCCACCAUAUCGUUGAGAGCCACAGCUAAGAGCUCCCAAAUGUAGCAACAUUCUUUGCUAGAGGGAUCUUCACUUCUUCUUCCUAAAAAUGUUAAAACCAUACUCCCUCCUUCUAGAAGUUCCUCCGACCGACACCUGAGGAACAUGGAGAAAUCGGUUCGGAAUUGCUCAUAGUAUACUUUAAGCACGCAUGGUGGGCUCGAACUUGCCAUAUAAAUGUUCCCUUUGUUACUCUCCAGCCCUUGAGGAACCUGAUGAACAAUUGAAACUUCCAACUUACAUACUUUCUUCUUGGUUGAUAAUAAAUCAUCAUAAACCACUAUUUAAUUUAGAGCAAAGAGUCACCUGAGACAACCAUUGGAGACUGUAAGAAGAAUGGAUAAAAUGAAGACUUUUGCUGGGGAACAGCCUGCCGUAGAAAGAACCUGGAACUCCGUUUAUGAAACAUGAUUCAGCUCCUGCUCCCAUUCUUUUCUCAAGAUCCUUUUGGAACCUGGGCAAGGAUUUGAAAAUGGUGUUGAAAUCAUUCCCCGGCAGAUCAUUCAAAAACACUUGAAUUUCGGGCAAUUGACGCCCCAUUUUCUUGCCCACCCUGUCCACUGUAGUGACAACUUCCAAGACCGCAAACAAAGUGUUGGGUCCAGAAGAACAUCCCAAGUCUGCGAUGCAUAGGCUGGUCGGAAAUUUGUUGCAGUAAAGAUUUGUUAUGGCUUCCUCGAUUAUGGGCUUUGUCAAGGAUAUUACUUUUUUCUGCACCAUUAAAGUGGAACUUUGUCAUUGAAAACUUUUUAGAAGAACGGCAGUACAUGAUACCUGCAUGAUAAAAAGACAAAACAUCCAAGUGCAUGGGUGCUAGUGAUCAAUCAGCAUGUCUUGACUAUUCAUUCUUUAAUUUAAUUGAAGGAAACAGUUCAUAUGUAUGAUAUAUACAUACCAGCUGAUGCAUUAGGAUUGACGAAGAAAUAAAUUUAGAAAGAGACACACCUGAACUAAUGAGUUUUUUGCGUAACUGGUAUCCCCAUUUCCUCCCUUCAUGCAAAGCACUUGAACUACUUCCAUCUCUCCCUUCCUGCCUCUUUGCUGAUUGCUCUCUCUCAGUUGCAAUGUGAAUUGUGUUGAAGGAGAUGCUCACUAUUUAUAGAACUUGGAAUCACAUCGUUGUGGAAUCAAUUAUUUCAUCGUCUAUGUACUCUACUUUCACGUAACCCCCCCGAUGGUCAUUGUUGGUGAUAAUUCAAAAGGAAUGUAAUACCCCCAAACCCAAUUUAGGGGUAAAUUUAUAAUUUAGAAAUUAAUUAAUUAAUUAAUUAAAUUAAUUUAAUAACGGUAAAAAAAGUCUUUUCGUUUUUAAAAGCUUCAGUUAUAAAAUUACUUUUUUCCUAUCUUUUUUAUUCAAAAAAACCCUUUUUCAUGAAGACCGUAAAUACCAAAGAGUAUAGGGUUAAAGAUUUGGAGGUUUAGGGUUUGAAAAUCAAAUUUUUAGGUAAGAUUUUAAUCCUCGAAUUAGUAUUUUAUAUUCGUUAAUUAGAUCUGAAUACUUUCAAAAUCACAAUCUAAAUUAGGGUUUGUUUAUUUAAUUUUUUAGAUCAAAAGAUUGGAAAUUUAUUAAUGUACAUUAAUUUAUUAAUGAAAAUAGGAAAAUUUCACUUGAAUAGAAAAUAAAUAAAUAAAUAGUGGAAGAUGAGAAAUUUUAGAUUUAGAAAAUAAAUCAAUAAAUUGUUUGUGGAGGCUUUAGAUCGGAAAAACUAAAUAAUAAGAAAAAUGAUUGCAUGUUUCUGGAUUUUAGAAUUUGAGGAACUAUGUAGCGACAAUUUGAGAAAAUAAUAAUAAUAAUAAUAAUAAUAAUAAUAAUAAUAAUAAUAAUAAUAAAGAAAAGAAGAACAAAUACGAGCGGAUUAUUGAGUGACAAAAAAAAAUAAUAAUAUACAACCAUCAGAAAUAAUAAUAAUAAUAUAUGGUGACUUGGAGUAAUAGUGUUACUGGUAAUUGAAAGAAAUAAUAAUAAUAAUAUAUUGUGAAGUCUCAUCUAAUUAGGCACUAUUUGUUAUUUAAUAACCAGAGUAAAGAUAUUUUGAAUGUAUUUAAUUUCCUUUUGAUGAGAAAUUAUUCUGGAAUAGAUAUGAGAAAGUUUUACUGAAAAGUUUUUAUGAAAAUAAUGAUAUAUUGUAUCUCUGAUUUGUAAUUGUAAUUGAAAAUGUUUUAUCGAUGAAAUUGUAUUGAUGUUCUUUAUUAAGUUUUAAGUUCAUGCCUCUUUAUUGAUAAUUUUUCAGAUACUCUCAGAUCGAAUGAGGAGUGAUGGUUAGGUUGGAGAAUUUUUCUUUAUUAGGAUUUUAGUUCAAAUUUUAUUUUAGAUGUUAAAAUUUAAUUUCCAUUCGAAUUAUUUGAAUUUAGAGUUAUUUGGACAAUAACACUUGGAUUGAUAUGUUGGUUUAAAAGUUGAGAAUAGAAUAUUUUAGAAUUUUUAUUUGAACAUAAAUUUGAUAAUUAGUAAUUAAUAAUUUUCAAUGACAAGAUGAAUGUUUGUAGUUUGAAUCUUCAGUUUAGGUGUGAAAUGAAUUGGAAAAUUCUAGGGUACCUCUUCGGUACCUACCGAAAAAGUUUUUCAAGCUAUUGGAUGUCCAAGAUUACAUCUUGGGCAUCCAUUUUAAAUUUGAAAUAAAAAUUCCACUUAACCAGUUAAGGGAAGAACGGGAUGUGGCAUUCUUUCUUCCUCCAUUCUCAACAAUUUUGGGUUUAAAUAAAAUAAAUAUUAGAUAAAAAUAGAAUUGGAAAAAAAAUAAAAAUAAAAAUAAUAUAAAAUUUGAAAACAUAUUUAUUAACAAAAAAAAUCAUCAUAUAUCAUAAUUACAUUAUUUUAUUUCUAACAAAUUAUUAAACAUUUAAAUUCAACAUAAAAAUGAAUAUGGUAAUAUUUUAAUAUGAAAUGAGUAUUUUCAUAAAAAUUCAACAUUUUGAUAAUCAUAUGUAAAGCUUAGGUAAUUAGAUCGUCCUAAUUUUUUUCCGUACUCUCCAAAUUUUACAUUUUUUGAAUUUAAGGUUUUUAAAGUUAAAUUACAAUAAAAUAAAUUACUAAUACUCUUUUAAGUUACUAAUGAUAGUAUUUUCGAAAAUAAAUUUGUAAUUUCAAAAAUUUUUAAACUAAAAAUCAAUAUGAAAAAUGUGAUAAAAGUAUCAAACAUGUAUUUAUCACAUUUUUCCUACCGUUCUCAUAUUUUUCGUACCCUAAAUUAUUUAUAUUUUUAAAAUUUUAGAUUUACUUUUUAACUUGAAAUAACAAUAACAUAGUUUAAUAAUAUUAUUUUGAGUUAUUAUUGAUAGAAUUAUUAAAAAAAAUAAGAAUUAAAAUUUUUUUAAAUUAGAAAUAAUGUAAAUUAUCCUAAAAAAUUAGAAAAUUAAAAGUUCAUACCAUCUCUUACAAAAUUCUUACCCUGUCUUAGAAAGUUCAUACCUUGUCUUAGAAAGUUCGUACCCUUUCUUACAAAGUUCAUACCCUCUCUUACAGAGUUCGUACCCUCUCUUAGAAAAUUCGUACCCUAUCUUAGAAAGUUCGUACAAUCUCUUAGAAAGUUCGUACCAUCUCUUAGAAAGUUCGUACCAUCUCUUAGAAAGUUCAUACCUUCUCUUACAAAGUUCGUACUCUCUCUUACAAAGUUUGUACCAUCUCUUACAAAGUUCGUACCCUCUCUUACAAAGUUCAUACCCUGUCUUAAAAAGUUUGUACCAUCUCUUAGAAAGUUCGUACACUCUCUUACAAUGUUCGUACCCUCUCUUACAAAGUUCGUACCCUCUCUUAGAAAGUUCAUACCCUUUCUUACAAAGUUCGUACCCUAUCUUACAAAGUUCGUACCCUGUCUUAGAAAGUUCAUACCUUGUCUUAGAAAGUUCUUACCAUGUCUUAGAAAGUUCGUACCCUCUCUUAGAAAGUUCAUACCCUAUCUUAAAAAGUUCGUACCCUCUCUGACAAAGUUCGUGCCAUCUUUUAGAAAGUUCGUACCCUUUCUUAGAAAGUUCGUACCAUCUCUUAGAAAGUUUGUACCCUCUCUUAAAAAGUCCGUACCUUAUCUUAGAAAGUUCGUACCAUCUCUUACAAAGUUCAUACUCUCUCUUACAAAGUUCGUACACUGUCUUAGAAAGUUCGUACCAUCUCUUAGAAAGUUCGUACCCUUUCUUACAAUGUUCGUACCCUCUCUUACAAAGUUUGUACCCUCUCUUAGAAAGUUCAUACCCUCUCUUACAAAAUAUUGAUGACAAUUUCAUAACAAAUGACUAAAUGCUCUCAAUUUGAUUAAUAAUAACUUAGAAAAAAAUUAAAAAAUCUAGAUGUUAUAAAUCAUUACAUAUUUAAAUGUCAUUUAACAUGACAUUUCUACCUACAAUAGUUAUAUGUAAAUGGAAAAAAAAAUUCAAAUGUUACCUUUUAACACUUGUAAACACUUGACAUCCUUCAAGACAUAUAAAGCUUUAUCUUCAAAUUUAAUCUAUGAACAAAAAAAAAAUUAUAUAAAAAUAUUAAUAACAAUUUGAUAACAAAAUUUUAUAAUAAACUCAUAAAAAAUUCUAAAAUUGUUAUUUAACAUCACAUUUCUUCCUACAACAUUUAUAUUUGGAUAAAAAAAAUAUCAAAUAUUACCUUUGACACUUGUGAUCACUUGAAAUCCUUCAUCUUCUUCAUAUAAUACAAAUUUUAAAUUUUCUUUCUCAAAAAGUUUUAAACUUGAUCUUAAAAUUUGAUUCAUCAAAAUACAUCUUACAUAUUUUGUAAUUUAGUAGUUGAAAUUAUUUAAUUUUCAUAUUAAAUUACUAUCCUUUUUUUUUAUAUAUAAAUAAUGAGAGUAUAAGAGUAGUUGGUAGGAUUUUCUUUUUUUAGAUAGAGUUAGGUAAUGCUUUAAAUAACAAAUUAUAUUUGAUAUUUAAUAAUAAAUUAUAAAAAAGUUGUAAUAUUUAGAUAUAUAUGAAAUGCAUGUGAUUAUUUCUCACCAACAAGUCAUCUUUAUCGGUUUGAUAAGUUUUUAUAAAUUUUUUAAUGAUAUGUACUUUACACAUGUCAUCUUUUUAUUGGGGUCAAAUGUGGGUAGGUACCCCCAAAAUGAAGAGCGGGUACCAUAUCUAUUAUUACUCUGGAAUAGAUAUGAAAAAGUUUUACUGAAAAGUUUUUAUGAAAAUAAUGAUAUAUUGUAUCUCUGAUUUGUAAUUGUAAUUGAAAAUGUUUUAUUCAUGAAAUUGUAUUGAUGUUCCUUAUUAAGUUUUAAGUUCAUGUCUCUUUGUUGAUAAUUUUUCAGAUACUCUUAGAUCAAAUGAGGAGUGAUGGUUAGGUUGUAGAAUUUUCUUUGUUAGCAUUUUGGUUUAAAUUUUAUUUUGGAUGUUAAAAUUUAAUUUCCGUUCGAAUUAUUUGAAUUUAUAGUUAUUUGGAUAAUAACACUUGGAUUGAUAUAUCGGUUUAAAAGUUGAGAAUAGAAUAUUUUAGAAUUUUUAUUUGAACAUAAAUUUGAUAAUUAGUAAUUAAUAAUUUUCAAUGACAAGAUGAAUGUUUGUAAUUUGAAUCUUCCCUUUAGGUGUGAAAUGAAUUUCAUGCCCUUGAAGUAGGUUUUAGGCCGUGACAAGGAAAGUUCUUCAACUGACACCACUGAUGGGUAUUAUUCCUUAUAUUCAUCAGUACAGACUAAAAACAACGGAGAAACAACAAAAAUAAUGCUAAUAAUGCGUGCAUGAAACACGAUGAUGAAAAGUAGCACAAAGUGAAGGUGGGUGCAUGAGUUUUCCGCUUGGACCAGGAUAGCCUGCUUAAAACACAUUGGGGUUAGACAUCAGCCACAGAAUACUGGACGUGUCAGCGGAGCAUGACGCUUUCUUAGCAACCCUGCACAUAUUUCUUAGGCCAUGUGAUAUCUUCCAUAAUCUGAGCCACAUAAACAAGUGUCUGAGUGCAGCGAGUGCAUUCUAUUCCGGCAGGAAGAUGCCCCACAGUCUUUACAUAAUGGUUUGUGGAAACGAAUGAGGACCUUAUAUUCUGAUAAAAAUAUCGGCCAGCUAGCACUGUUUGGAUACAUGGCCGAACACUUCUUUUGGGAAUUAAUUUCCAUUAGUAAUUGAAGAGACAGAAAAAUGGCCUAGUACUUCUUCCCAAUAAUAAUGCCAAGGGAUGAAAAAAAAAAAGGCAAGAUGGCCAAAUACUGAAAAGAUUUUAGCACAGUUGAACCAAACCGAUCUAACUCUUCUAUCACAACGCCUCCAAUGCUAUAGUUACUAUUUUCCACGACAAAUUUUAGCUGCUGAAAGAGACAACUUAAUGAGAGAACUCUCAUUAGAAUUGAGUCAUCAACUUUCAUUAAGCAUAUUUCCGAAAUGUUGUCUCAUGAAUUGAAUGGUAUGCUUGGAUUAGGUGGUUCAAAGGAAGGACUUGGUCAGUUUCUUAAAUAAUCCAUGAAUUAAAUCAAAUUAAUCAAAUUUGAUAAUAUUAAACAGAUUAUUAUAGCAAACUGACUCGAUUUAACAUUUUGGUUUGCUUUGUUCCUUUCAUUCGUUUUGAGCUAAAAAUUGAUCCUUUCAGUCUUUUCAUAUUUCAUAGAUGGAUUGUAGGCUCCAUUUCUUAGGAGCAUAAGAUUUUUUGUUUUACGUGGAAAUCUUAUUUUUAUUCAUCUCUAAUGACCCAAGAGAAGAGAUCCAAUGUUCCAAACAAUCAAAGACGUUCACGAAGGAAAACCAUUCCAAAAGAGUAAGUUUUUAAAAAAAAAAAUUAAAAAGAAGUAUAGGUUUUAAUUUUUGUUUGUAUAAAUCUUUUCCUAUUUCAUAGAUGGAUUGAAGGCUCCAUUUAUUAGGAGUAUAAGAUUUUUUGUUUUACGUGGAAAUCUUGUUUUUAUUCAUCUCUAAUGACCAAAGAGGAGAUCCAAGCAAUCAAAGACUUUCACGAAGGAAAACCAUUCCAAAAGAGUAAGUUUUUUGGUUGAAAAUGUUCAGAAUCCAUAAAAGAAGCACUCUUGAAUUGGAGAUACAAGCAUGGACGCUCAAACGUUAUAACCAAUAUUGCUCGAGUGCUCCUUAAGGCACUCAAGCGCUCUCAAUGGAAACAAUAUGGUUUUUAGGGUUUUUCUGAGUUCCUAACCCUAAUUUUUUGUUAUAAGGAUAUUUUGAUAAUUUUAAUGUUUUUGGAAUUUCCGGAUUCCAAAUUUUAUUACCAAAAUCUAUAACAAGAUCCCUAAAGGCAAUUAGAAUUUUAAUUAAUUUCCACAUUUGUGUUUUUGGGUUUUUUACAUAUGUUUAUUAUAUAUGACAUGUUUGGCAUAGAAAUGAGUUUUUUCAGUAAAUCUUAAUAAGAAAUAAAUUUUUAUAAAUUGACUUUCCAAAUAUGAAUACUUUUUUAAAUUUGAAAAUGUAAGAAACUAAGAAAAUAUUUUUAUAGAAAGAUUUUAAGAGGAUUAAGAGCAAUUUAUUUCCUUUUAUAAAAUUAAUUCUUAAAGAUUUUAUCUUUAAAAUCUUCCCUAAAUUUUUGAGAUAUUUAGGAAUAUUUUUUUUAUUUAAGAAAAGUGCUCUUAUUUUCUAUAUAAAAUGGGAUUUUCCUUAUUUGCAUAAGAUUCCAUUUUAGAGUGAGUACUUUUUGAAAAUUCAUGAUGAAUAAUUUAUUAUUAAGAAAGCUACCAAAAACAGUUGUGAAGAGAUUAUGGGAAUAAAAUUCUUUGCCAAUAUGAAAUAUUUACUAAAUUGGAAAUAAUGUAUGAAAAAAAAAUGAGAAUUUUAGGAAAAUGAAAUUUUAAAUUUUAAGAGCUUAUUUUAUUUUCAAAUUAAUUUUUAAAUAAGGCACCCUCAUGGAAAAUUUUAAAAAUUUUCAAAGAUACUUUCUCCUUUUACAUUAAGGUUCUAAUAUAGGAAAUAGAUAUUUUUAGAAAAUUUUCAUAGAGGAUAUUUUAUUCAACAAGAAAUUACUAAGGUUAAAGCUCUUAAUUAUUCUAAAAGAUUAAGUUGGAUAGGAUCUUAGCAAAACCCACAAUCUUCAUUAUUAAACUCAUCUUGAUUUUGGAUCACCACUACCGUAAUAGUGCAUUAGGUAAAAGGAAUUAAGGGAUAUGAACUUUCCAUUUGGACAAAAGUAGACAUAUUUGUGGUGGGAGCAACCACUCCAAUGGUGGGUUCUUCACUUAGUAACAUUGAUGUCAAGGAUAAUGAUUAUAUAGUUAACUUGGAUAUGAAGUGAUUGAAUUGUCCACUAUUGUCUCCCUUUCUAAGUCUAAAGGCUAAAUAAAAAUUAUAUGUUGAUCUUAAGGUUAAAUAUGAUAGGAAAAUCAAUCUAAGAGGGUCUUUACUUAAUAAUAAGAUCAUGACCUACUCAACAAGGGCUUGAUUCUUGUGAUACUAGGACACUUAGCAAAAGACAUUAGUAAAAUGUGUAACUCAAGAAUUUGCUCCAAAUACCCUAAUGAACAAUCCUUACAAGAAGAAAGGAAUGCUUAUCAUAGAUGACAUAAGGCAGAUUAGAAGACCAAGUUUAUUAUACUUAGGUCUUUGGAUAAUGUGUUACAAUAGUAACACGUCUUAUGCCAUAACUUAUGAUAUUCUCUUCAGUUUGUAAGAGAUGUGUGGUGACAAAAGUAGGUCAUCUAGACAAACUACCCUAAGGACUAUCAUGAACACCAAAAUGAUGAAAGGAACUCUUGUUAGAGACUAUAUGAUAUAUAUGAUCAUACUCUUCAAUGAGAAGGAAUUAUUUAGAGUUAAGAUUAAUAAGGAAACCAAAGUCAAUAUGAUCAUAGAGACCUUGUCAACUUCCUUCAAGUAGUUCAAGGUGAACUAUUUUGUGAAUAAGUUGUUGAUGAACUUACUAGAGUUUAUAAGGGAACUCUAGAUAGCUAAGAGGAUUCUCAAAUAUCAAAAGGGUUUUCACAUGGAAUUUAAGGAUUCUUCGAGGUCUUCUACCAAGAAGAAGAAGAACAAAUAUGGAAACACCAAGUAAUGAUGUAAGUUUAGGUGAGGAAAAGAAAGAGUAAAGAAAAUAGUAAGUGCUUCCUUUGUCGAAAUAAAGGCUACUAGGAAAAGGAGUGCCUUGAAUUCCUCUUAAUUGAAUCAUGUUUAGUGAUACAUUUCACAUAUUCUUAGUGGAUAGAUUCCAGGGCCACUAACUAUAUCUAUAAAUUUGUAAUUUUUUACAAGGUUUCAAUUAAGGAAAAGGCUGAAUGAUAGGAACAUGUGCUUGAUUGUAGCUUCUAAUGUAAGGAUAGUUGUACAGAAAGUGUGAGAUAUUAUCUUAGUCUUAGAGAAUAAGAGUCUUCUAAAGCUUAAAGAUUGCCGAUAUGUUCCUAAUUAUACAAAAAAAUUGAUUUCAAUUUCUAGUUUAUGUAAAUCAAAUUGUUCAAUGUUUUUAAAUAAACAAGUUAUUAUUAAAAUAAAUUAUUCAUUUAUAUGCUUAAGAUCAUUAGUUGAAAGUCUUUAUCAUGUGACUUCAUUAUUACUAUUGCCAAGUAAUAAGAAUAAUCAUAUCUCACUAAAAAGUAACAAACCUAAUAGUAAUCAAACUUAUGUUUGACAUUUACAUCUUGAUCAUAUUAAUCAAAAUAGGAUCUAAAGAUUGAUCAACUCAGGAUCAUUGGACAUUUUGAUUCUAGAGGAUCUUCCAGUUUGUAAAUCCUAUAUAGAAUAUAAAAUGAUUGAAAAAAUCAUUUAUUAUUAAAGGAUAUAGAGCCAAAGAAUGUUUGUAGUUAACGCAUAUUGAAGUAUGUGGACCUUUUAAUAUUCAUGCACAAGAGGGUAUAAGUAUUUCAUCACCUUUAGUUUGGAUUUAUUUACAUAAUAUAUAGAAAACCCAAUGCCUUGAAGAUAAAUUGAUUGAAUUUAAGGUAGAAUUAGAGGAUCAAUUAAGCAAACACAUGAAGGCAUAUUGAAAUUAUAUAAGAAGUAAUAAUAUAUCUUUUGAAAUUGUUUUGUUGAAAAAAUUGAUUUAUAUAAUAUAAUUUGUCAUGUGCAACAAUAAUAUCAUGUUCGUCAAUAAGAAAUAUGAAUUUUAUAAGUGUACAUUCAUUAUUAAGUUACAUUAAAUAUUAUUUAAUAAUAAUAUUGUAACAUUUGAUAAUAAUACGUAAAAUUUGAAAACAUAUUUAAUAUUAAAAUUUUGAUAUAUUUAAUUCAAAUAUAUUCAAUAAUAGAAAAUAAAUGGUGAUAUAUGUAUGAUAUCUUGAUUUAUAAUUUUUUAUUCUUAACAACCAAUUAAAUGAAAUUUAAAAAUAAAAUAAUUAAAAUUAAUUGAUUUUAUUAUCUUAUUUUUUCCAUAGAUAUUUUUAUAUGUACUUAUUAAAAUUAAUUUAAUUAAAGCUAAAUUUAAAUAAAUAAAAAAAACAAUAAUAUAAUAUAUAAUUGUAUUUACAUCUUUGCCAUAAGAUGGAAGUGGCAUAGUUGAUUACCUACUUAGGAACCAGCUAAGAAAACCAGGUUUGAAUCAUUUGGUAACAUCUUUUGGGCAUUUGACUAAGAAUUUGGUAAUUGUUGACUUGCACCAAUUUUAUCGUAGAAAAAUCCUGAUAAAUCAGGACAUAAUUGAUAAAUCCAGAAAAAUUACCAGUAAUUUUGAAAAUUUUUGAAAAAUCGAAAAAUGGAUAUAUCCUACCUUGAUAUCAUAUCGUGACAUUUGGUUCAAAGUAAAUAAUUAUUUUCUCACAAAUUUUUUUAAGUUUGUGUAUCUUUAUUUCUAUUUUAUAUAAAGAAUAAAAAAAAAAUUUUAAAUGUAAAAUUUUUCAAAUAAUUUUCCUUUUUAUUUUCUAUUAUAAACCGAAGAAGAAUGGGUUCCUAUCCUAGGAGGAUACAACUAUUCUAAGGAUUGUCAUGACCCUAGACUUUAACUAAUUAAUUUACAAACUUACAGAUGGUAAAAAUCUCAUUGAAGAUGACAUUGCCUGAACUAUCAUAUGAGCUAGUUGUUGAGUGAGAGGGUGAUUAGCCUAGUUGUUAGUACCCCUAAAGAGAAAAAUACAGACCCUUUAUCGUGAGUGCAUGCAAGGCACAUAUAUGCCCAUUCAGUUUUGAAGCACGAAGCUUGGUCAACCUAUUUCAUGUACUCAAAUAUUGAAAUAUAAUCGCUCAUAUUCAUCGACUAGGAAUACACUCAUUCACUAGGAAUACACUCAUUCAUUGCCACACACAUGGACUCAUGGAGAUCCCGACAACUACUAUAGUAUAGCCUAUGUUUGGUUUUCAGAAAUUUCGAGAAAAAAAAAAAAAAAAAAAAAACUAGAUAGAAAAAAUAGAAGAAAAAAAAGUAAAGAAAAAAAAAUGAAUAAAUUAUUUUUAUAUAUUAUUUCAAACUUAUUUUAUUAAUUUUAAUUCUUCAAUAUAAAAAUAAAAUAAUUUAACAAUACAUAAAUUUCUAACUUUUUUUAAUUUUCUUCUUUUUUUUUCCUUAAUAUUUUCUCAAAACCAAACAUAACCUUAGGCUAUGUUUCGUUCCGGAAAAUUUGAGGGAAAAUGAAGGGAAAUAAAAUAAAAAGAAAAAAUAGAAUAAAAGAAAAAAAAACUAAGGAAAAUAAAAAAUAGAUUUAAAAUUAAUAAAUUGUUUUUAUUUACUAUUUCAAAUUUAUUUCCUUAUUUAGCUUAUCAGAUGUAAAGAUUAAAUAAUUGAAAAAUAUGUAAGUUUUUAAUUGGUUUUAAUUAUAAUUGAUUUUUUUUCAUAAGACUAUUAUUUUUCUUAACAAUUUUUUUUUCUUUUCUUAAUAUUUUCUAGAACCAAACAUAACCUAAAUAUUUUAAAAUUUCAAUCAACAUGGGUCAUAGGGCUCAAACCUAUGCCCAAACCCAAAAUAAACACAAUGAGCCAAUGGGCUAACUUGCCCAUUUACCAAAUAAUAAGCACCAGAUAAAUAUAUAGUAAAAGCAUCAUAAAACAAAAUAUUAAAAAUUUAUUUUAAUAAGCAAAUUAAUUCUAAUUAUUUUAUUUUAAAAUUUCAUUUAAUUAAUCACUAAUAAUAUAAAACCUAUCAUUAUAAUUUUCUUAACAUUUUUUUUAUAUCAUUUAUAUAUAUUAAUUAAAUUUAAAAAAUAUAAAUAUUAAAAAUAUUUAUACAUAUAUCAUCAUUUAUUUUAUAUUAUUUAAUACAAUUGAAAGUAAAUGGAUUAUAAUUUUAAAAUAAGAUAUAUUAUAAUCAAAUAUCACAAUAUUAUUGUCAAAUAAAAUUUGAAGUAAUUUAAUAAUAAAUAUAUAUUUAUAAAAUUCAUAUUUUUUUUAUCAACUCAUAUGAUAUUAUUAUCAAAUAUAAUUAAUUAUCUCAUAUACAUAUAUCAAUUUUUUUAUAAAACAACUUUAAAAUUUCUACUAUUGUUCAUUAUAUCAUUUUUAGAGUUUUUUUCAAUAUUUUCAUAAGUUUUGAUCAAUUUUAGGCAUAUUGAAAUUUUUUUUCAAAAUAUCCAUCGAUAUAUCUGAUAUAUCCGUAAAAUCGAAAUAACCGAUUUAUCUAUGAUUACCAAUAUUUUCAUUAAUGGUUUCGACAAAAUUGUCAAACAUUCCAACAUGUACAAGUUUCUCACAACUCUUCCUAGCUCAAAGUAUUAUUUUUCCCGCGCAUUUGAUUGGUUAGCAUCUAAAUUUAUGAAUGAAAAUUUUGUACUUUCCCAAUAAAUUUCUAAAAUGAGAUAUACAUGAGAUUUUUAUACUAUUUGUGGGGGGUUUCCCUCCACGUGUCCUCCCCAAAAUCAAAAACCCUCGGUUCUUCCAAGGUAAGCAGAUGAUCCGUCUGAGAUCAAUCCAUUUGAACCAAAACAAACCCCAUCUGGUGCAAGAGGAAAGAGAUUUCCUUCUUUUUAGGUGUCAGACAGAAUGAACAGUCCAAGUCAACUGAGAUUUCCAGAUCGAUUAAUUAACACAGUUGGAGAUUCCAGGCACUGAACAAAUGGAUAAUCACACCCAAUGCCUAAGCAACAGCCUAAAUGACAUUUACGCCUAAAAGUCAAUGAAUAUUAAUUGCUACGUGCAAUUAGCGACUUUGACAAACGUAAAUACAUAGUCCACUACAUGGUUCGAGACUCUUACUCGACAGCCAGCAAAUGACACCAAUCAGCGAAUUUUGUUUGGUAUGAUUGCCAAAUCCGUGCAGAAAUGAUGGCAUUAACUCUCUUGCUAAGGCUUGAUUUUCGUCCUAAUGGCAAUCAUCAUCACAAAAAAGGCAUGAAUGCAUCAUCAGAGCUAUGGCGAUGAUGUCAUCCACUUUAUAAAAACCUCUCAAGAAGUAUGAAAAAGGUACGCGUGUACAAAGUCAUUCAAAAUAAUUAGGUCCAUCCUUAUUACUUUUUUACUUGAGCUUCGGAGGGGCGUGUCUAGACCAUCUGUCCGAACAUCAUUUUGUGCAUGAAAGAAGUCUGAAUGCCUCUAGAGAAACUAGACGGACUCAAAUCUGGUUGGCAUUGCAUCAACAUUGGUUAUCUAUUAGAAUUUGGAAUUUAAAUGGGACCUCCUUUAAGUUACAUUAUAUAUAUAAAUUGAUCAAUCUAUAAAUAAAUUAAGAAAUAAAUAAAAAAAUUGAUCAUCUCUUUUUUCUUUUUCUUUUUUGUCUAAUUUUUUAUUUUCAAUACUUACAAAUGGGAAUAAAAUAAAUACUGAAAAGUUGAGUGAGAUUUUUAAAAUUUUGUUGAAUUAAUAUAGGAUUCCCAAUAGGAUUCUAGCAAACCAACACGUCAACCCAACACUCCAACAUUUAUUUAGUAAUAUCUUUGACAAUAAAACAUAAUAUGACAAUGAGAGAAUCUAAAAAACUAGGAUUGAUAACUGAUCAUGGAAAGCUUAUUUUAGAAAGGGGUACAUGCACGUUCUGAAAUAUAAAACUACUAAUGAAGCAGCCAUGUUGAAUGUUGGAUCGAUGAAGCAGCCCUGUUGAGUGUUGGUCAUCCACGCUUAGUCAUGGAAACAGUGACAUUUACGAAUGCAAUCUUCUCUCUGGACAUGCGAACAAUGACAAUCUUUUUGUACCUGCUGAACACCUCCUCAAUUAUUCCAUCACCAAAGUGGCUUACAAGCAAUGGCUCCAUCACUGCUGUUAUCAAAUUGGCCACAUUGUAUCCACAAUUAUGAGCAUCUGAUGCGCAGAAUUCACCGUGAUACGCAUUCCAGUUCACUUUAGAAACCUCCAGCCUAUUUAUGGUAAAGGAUCCUUCCUUUUCAACCUCACAUUUUACUUCAACUGGGGAUGAUGCAUAUUGAGUAAUAUUGAAGGAAUCCAUUUUCUCCUUGUCAAUGAGCCCCUGGAUUUAAACUUCGUUAAAUUACAUAUGCUAUUGUUGAAUGAUUUAAUCUAUACAAAUUGGCAACAUUAAGGCAUGUAGAAAUUGAAUGUGCACUUCUGCCACCAUAUCGUUGAUAGCUACAGCUAAGAGCUCCCAGAUGUAGCAACAUUCUUUGCUAGAGGGAUCGUCACUUCUUCCUAAAAAUGUUAAAACCAUACUUCCUCCUAGUAGUUCCUCCGACCGACACCUGAGAAACAUGGAGAAAUGGCUUUGGAAUUGCUCAUAGUAUGCUUUAAGCACACUUGGUGGGGUUCGAACUUGCCGUGUAAAUGUUCCCUUUGUUACUCUCCAGUCCUUGAGGAACCUCAUGAAUAAUUGAAACUAGCUUACAUGCUUUCUUCUUACUCAAAUAAUGGACAACCAAUGGAGACUGGAGGAAAAAUGGACAAAAUGAAGACUUUUGCUGGGGAAGAGUCUGCCGUAGAAAGAACCUGGAACUCCGGUUACAAAACAUGAUUCAGCUCCUGCUCCCAUUGUUUUCUCAAGAUCUUUUCAGAACUUGUUCAAGGAUUUGAAAAUGGUGUUGAAAUCAUUCCCCGGCAGAUCAUUCAAAAACACUUGAAUUUCGGGCAAUUGACGGUCCAUUUUCUUGCGCACCUUGUCCACUGUAGUGACAACUUCCAAGACCGCAAAAAAAGUGUUGGGUCCAGAAGAACAACCCAAGUCUACGAUGCAUAGGCUGGCCGUAAAGUUGUUGCAGUAAAGAUUUGUUAUGGCUUCCCCGAUCAUAGGUUUUGUCAAGGAUAUUAUUUUUUUCUGCACCAUUAAUGUAGAACUUGUCAUUGGAACCUUUUUAGAAAUAUGGCAGUAUUUGAUACCUGCACGAUAAAAAAAAAAAAAAACAAAACAAAACAUCGAAGUGCAUAGGUGCUAGUGAUCAAUUAGCAUAUCUUGACUAUUCAUUCUUUAAUUUAAUUAAAGGAAACAGUUUAUAUGUAUAAUAUAUGCAUGUCAACUGAUGUAUUAGGAUUGACGAAGAAUUAAAUUUAGCAAAAGACACAGCUGAACUAAUGAGUUUUUUGUGUAACUGAUAUCCCCAUUUCCUCCCUUCAUGCAAAGCACUUGAACUACUUCCAUCUCUCCCUUCGUGCCUCUUUGCUGAUUGCUCUCUCUCAGUUGGCACUUGGAAUGGGAAUUGUGUAGAAGGAGAUGCUCCCUAUUUAUAGAACUUAGAGUCACAUUUGUUGGUGCAGUGUCAACCAGAUUUGAGUUCGUCUACCUUCUCUAGAGUCAGAUGGGUUUCUUCCCUAUACAAAAGGAUAUUCGAACAGGUGGUCCAAACACGCCCCUCCGAAGCUUAAGUCAAAAAGUAAUAAAGAUGAGCCUAAUUAUUUCGAAUGGCUUUGUACGCGCGUACCUUUUUCAUGCUUCUCAAAGGGUUUUUAUAGAGCAAAUGGCACCAUCGCCAUAGCGUUGAUGAUGCAUUCAUGCCUUUUUUGUGAUGAUGAUUAUCAUCAAGGCGAAAAUCAAGUCUUAGCAAGAGAGUCAACACCAUCAUUUCUGCGUGGAUUGGGCAAUCAUACCAAAAAGAAUCCGCUGACUAGUGUCAUUUGCUGGUUGUCGAGCAAAAGUCUCAGACCAUAUAGUAGACCAUGCAUUUACAUUUGUCAAUGUCGCUGAUUGUGUGUAGCAAUUAAUAUUCAUUGACUUUUAGGCAUAAAUGUCAUCUAGGUCAUUGCUCAAGCAUUAGGUGUGAUUAUCCAUCUACUCAAUGUUUGGAAUCUUUGACUGUGUUAGUUAAUCCGUCUAGGAAUCUCAACUGGCAUGAUUUGCUCAUUCUGUCUAACAUCCAAGAAUAAGGAAAUUUCUUUCCUCUUGCACCAGAUAGAGUUUUUUUUUUUUUGUUAAGACGAAUCAUCUGCUUAUCUUGAACGGACCAAGGGUUUUUGAUUUGGGGGAGGACACGUGAAGAGAAACCCCCCACAACAUCUUUGUGGAAUUAAUGAUUUCAUCUUCUUUGAACUCCAAUUCCACGAAACCUUGCAGUCACUAAUGAUUAUGUUGGAUAAGUAAAUAAAUCUAAUAAAAUUCAACAUUUGUUUUUUAAAUUAAAUUUAUUAAAAUUAGAAUGAAGAUAAUUUUUCAUUCAAUUUAAAAUCUUUAAUUAUCCUUUGUCAAUAAAUAAUACAAUUAUUGAUGAGUCCAAUAAUAAUUUUUCUAUUGCUAUACCUAAAAUUUGGAGGGUGAAAUAAUAAGAGAAUUAAGAAGGAUGAAGCAAUAAGAAACUCUAAGGCUACGUUUGGUUGGUGAGAUAUGAUAAAAUAGGAUUAGAUAUGUAUAUCUUAAGAUAUCAUAUCCCAUUGGAUAGGAUAUGCAUAUCCUAUGAUAUGAUUUCCAAUGGAAUAUGAUAUUAUUGGAUAUACAUAUCAACAUGAUAUUUUAAAAUAGCAUAUCCAAUGAGAUAUGUUAUAUCAUAUUUAUAUUUAAUUUGUAAAAUGAAUAAAAAAAAAAGAAUAUAAAAUAUAUAUUAUUUUCAAUGUUUAAAAUAAAAAUUAUAUCACAUUCAAAUAUUUUUUAUUUUUUAAAAAAAUGAAAAUUUUGUUAUGUUUAACAAUAUAAAUUAUUAAAAUAUUUAAACUUUACAAAUAAAUUUUUUUAUAUUAUGUUAUUUAAUAUAUAAAAAUAAUUUAUAUAUCAUAUAUUAAUAUUAUUUUAUAAAUAUUUUUUUAGUUUCUCUUUUUUAAAAAUAAAUUUAAUUUAUAACGAAAAAAAUAUUUUGUAAAAUGACUAUAUUAAAAAACAAAAAAUUGAUUAAAAAAAAUGAAUUUUUAAUGCAUGGAUAUGUAUAUCUUAUAUCUUACCAUGGUAUUAACAUAUCACAUUUAAAAAUAGAUGAAAAAAAAAAAGGUGAAUAAUAUAUCCUAUCAUUUAUCCUAUCUUAUAUAUGUUUGAUCGAACAUAGAAUAUGAUAAGUAAUCGAAUAACUUAUCUUAUCUUAUAUAUUUCAUCUCUUAUCAUAUCACAUAUUAUAUCUUAUCAAUCAAACAUGGCCUAAUAAUUUUUUUUUAAGAAGAAAAUUACCAAAUCAUUAAAGACUACAAUUCUGUGUUACAAAGAACUUCUUCGAAUAUUUAUCUAGAUUAUAAUUUUAUUUUUAUCUAACAAUUGAUAAUUCAAAAGGGAAAGUUAUUCUACUAAUACCACAAGGUGGAUAGAACUCAUGACAUUCACCAGAACAAACCAUACAUAACACAACACGCCAUAUGACAUAAUAUUCACUAAUGACAAGUGUGUCUCUUUAUGGGUACUACCAUUAAAAGAGAAAUAAGUAAAUCUCAAUGUUUUUAGAAUCAAACUUAUCGUUGAGUCAUAAAAAUGGUUGAUUUACUAUUUAUUAAUUGAAUCUAUGGUUGAAUUACGUUGAUAUCAUAAAUAUAUAAUUUAUAUAUUAUAUAAAAUUAAAAAUAAUUAUAAAAAAAUUAAAAUAUAUAUAAUUACUUUUUUAUAAUAUUUUAUUUUUAUAUUUGAUAUAUCAAAUUAAAUAAUAAAAAUAUUAAUAUUUUAAAUUUUCUUGAAUAGAACAUAUAUAAUAUUUAAGUAUGAAUAUCUAUUUAAAAUGAAUAUAUAUAUAUAUAUGAUAUUUAAUUUUAUUUUCAUGUAUUUUUAUUUUAUUAUAUUAAUUAAUUUAUAUUAUUUUAUAAUUAUCAUUAUAUAAUCAUUUUAUAUAACAAGCACGUACUAGAGAGAAUAAGAUGAGAGAACUUUCGUUGAUUUUUAUGCAAUGAUUUUUGGUGAAAAAUUAGAUAAAAACACAUAGAUUUAACAUGAUUUGACCAAUUUGCCUACAUCCACGGAAAUAGGGAUUAAGACUUUCACUAUAUUUCAAAUUAGGGUUACAUAAAAGGGUAUUUAUACUAAUCUUUCAGGUCAUAAAAUUUCAAAAAUACCCUUUAAACCAUACCGCGGGGGAUGUUUCACUAUAUCUCAAAUUAGAGUUAUAUAAAAGGGAAUUUAUACUAAUUAUCAGAUAAUGAAAUUCCAAAAAUACCCCUGAAUCGUACCACGGGAGGGCGUUACCCCUUGCACCCCCCAACCUAUCGUUUGCCCCUUCCAUACCCCUCCCUAACCUAUUGUUUACCCUCAACAAUAAAAAUAUAAGCUUAAAUGGAAAAUGUGGUCACUCUACUCCAACAUUUAUCCCAUUUUUCUUCGUAUAUUUUUCACUUAAUAUGAACCACCAACUUUUUAAAAGAACGUUAGAUUGAUGUUUCAUAUGAAUCAAACUUGCUCAAAUAAUUACAAACACCAAAAAAACAAAAACAAAAAUAAAAUGGGUUUAUUUGUUUCCUUUGCGUACACGAAACUAAAAACAAUUGGCAAACAAUGAAAACAAUACUAAUAACGUGGGCAUGAAACAUGAUGAUGAAAGUAGGACAAGGUGACGGUAGGUGCAUGCAUGAGUUGGCCGCUUAUACCAGGACAACCCGCUUAAAACAAAUUGGGAUUAAAUAUCAGCCACAACUGGAGGUAUCAGUGGAGCAUGCAAUGACGUUUCUUCCAUCACACAGCCUUAUUUGUGUUUUUUUCCCACGUUCUCACAUUCGGAGCGUUGACUGAAUCGAAUAAAUUAUUGAUUCACAAUUCAUUAAUUCAAUAAGAUAAUAUCAUAAAUAUAUAUAUUUCAUUAAAAUUUAAAAUAAUUUUAAGAAGUUAAUACAUAUAAUAAAAAAAUUUAAUAAUAUCCUUUUUUUAUGUUGGAUAUGUCAAUUAUGUGAUGAACAUAAUGUGAGUGUUUAGCUAGGUUGGCAAUUCAGGACAAAAUUCCUAAGUGUCCCCUAACUCGGCUUUCCUAUUCCUAUUCGGANNNNNNNNNNNNNNNNNNNNNNNNNNNNNNNNNNNNNNNNNNNNNNNNNNNNNNNNNNNNNNNNNNNNNNNNNNNNNNNNNNNNNNNNNNNNNNNNNNNNNNNNNNNNNNNNNNNNNNNNNNNNNNNNNNNNNNNNNNNNNNNNNNNNNNNNNNNNNNNNNNNNNNNNNNNNNNNNNNNNNNNNNNNNNNNNNNNNNNNNNNNNNNNNNNNNNNNNNNNNNNNNNNNNNNNNNNNNNNNNNNNNNNNNNNNNNNNNNNNNNNNNNNNNNNNNNNNNNNNNNNNNNNNNNNNNNNNNNNNNNNNNNNNNNNNNNNNNNNNNNNNNNNNNNNNNNNNNNNNNNNNNNGCCGAGAUGAGCCUGUGCGGACUCCCAAGUGUGCUCCAACAGGAGAAGCUGAAAAUGAAGGUACUAGUCAAGUAUUCCGGGAAGGAUUGGUUGGCUUGAGCUAGGUAAAACCUUGUACUCAGUUUUUAUUCUUCAUAGUGGAGUUUUCAAUCGGUGAUAGGCCCGUGGUUUUUUAUCUCUUCGGAGGUUUUCCACGUUAAAAAUCCGGUGUUCAUUGUCUCUUUCUCUCACUCUAUAUUUUGAUUUAUUUUUGAGGAGUGUUGAAGCAUUUGCAUGUGUUUUGCAUUUAUAAAUUGUUGGGAGAGUGUUGAUGCAUACAUUAUUGCUUGUGGAUGUUUUGCUUUGUUGAAAAGUUAUUGGAAGAAAAUUUUCUUGACAUUAAGAUAGUCUAAGGUUAGGUAAUCUUUGUUGGGAGAAUUUUUAAAUUGUUCUACAACACCUAUUCACCCCCCUCUAGGUGUAGUUCAUUAUUGAGAUUCACAUUUUCAAUUGGUAUCAGAGCGGGUUUUUAAAGGAAAAAUCAUUUUUAGUCCUUGAAUCUCAAUCAUGGAACCUCAUCAAGAGGGAGCUUCCAUUGGGAGACCACCAUUUUUAACCGGUGAAAAUUAUUCUCAUUGGAAAGUGAGAAUGCAAUAUUUUCUCAAAAUGCAAAGUGAAAAAGUUUGGAACACUGUUGAAUUUGGUUGGUCUCCACCUAAGGUGUUGGAUAGAGAAGGUAGACCAACUAAUGUUAUCAAGCCUAAAUUGGAAUGGGAUAGAAGUGAAAAUGAAGCAAGUGAGAAUAAUGCUAGAGCCAUGUACUCCAUCUUCGAUGCCAUUAGUACAGAUGAAUUCCGUAGGAUUGCUACAUGUACUUCGGCUAAGGAGGCUUGGGAUAUUCUCCAAGUGACUCAUGAAGGAACUAAUGCCGUGAAAGUGUCCAAGCUUCAAAUGUUGACAUCUAGGUUUGAGACCAUUAGGAUGGAUGAUCAUGAAACUUUUGGAGAAUUUAAUGCAAAACUGAUGGACAUUGUGAAUUCUAGCUUCAAUCUAGGUGAACCCAUCUCUAACUCUAAGGUGGUGAGAAAAAUUUUGAGAUCUCUUCCUGAGAGAUUUAGAGCUAAGGUCACCGCCAUUGAAGAGUCUAAGGAUGUGGAUUCCUUGAAGAUAGAUGAACUUGUAGGUUCCCUCCAAACCUUUGAGAUGACUCUUGUAUCACCUAGGAAAGCUAAGGGAAUUGCUUUAAAAGCUAUUAAAGAAGAGUCCCUAAGUUCCGAAAGUGAGGAUGAUGAGAAAAUGUCGGAGGGUGAGCUUACUAAGUUUGCUAAAAAAUUCAAGAAGUACAUGAAAUUCAGAAAAGCCAAGAAAGAAUCAAAUGAUGGUAAAAAAUGGAGGAACUCAAUUGGAAAAGAGAAAAAGAUGGAGAAAAGUGUGAAAAAGGAGUUGAAAAUUGAGUGCUUUAAAUGUGGGGGAAAGGGUCACUAUGCAUUUGAAUGUCCCUCAAAGAAAAAAGACAAGAAGGCCAUGAAAGUUACUUGGAGUGACUCCGAGUCUAAUCAAUCAAGUGAAAAAGAAUCCAAUGGAAGUGAGGAAUGCACUAACUUCAUAGCCUUUGCUGCAAGUGUCAAUGAGGAACCUCUUUUAAAAGAAGCUUCAAGUGAGUCAAGUGACUCCAAUGAUGAUGACAUGAGUUUUGACACAGCGUAUGAGACUUUGUAUAAGGAGUGUUUGAGCCUUAAACAAGAACAAGUCAAGUGGAAGGCUUCUAAGAAGAUUUUAACCAAUGAGGUUGAUGUUUUAAAGGGAGAAAAGAAAGCCUUGCUUGAUAAAAUUGCAUUUCUUGAAAAUGAACAUUUGGAAGUGAAGGAAAAAUGUGAUAUGUUGAAAAGUGAAAUUCAAAUGUUCAAGGAUGAGUUAAGUCUUAGGAAGGAAGAGUUACAUCCUAGCUCUAAAAGACUUAAUGAGUUAAUUAAUUCAGGGCGUAAAUCUUUUGAUAAAAGAGGCUUAGGAUUUCUUGGUGAAAAUGCUACUACAAGUAGUAGUAAAACGGUUUUUGUUAAGCCUUGUGAAAAAGAAUCUCCUAAGAAACCUCAAUCUCAAAUCAAGUUUCAUUGCAAUCAUUGUGGAAAAAUGGGACACACUUUUGAUAGAUGUUAUGCAAGAUUGUUUGAUAAUUUUCAAAGGAGGUUGACCAACCUAAUGAAUGAAUGUCAUGCUUUGAAGAAUAGGUUGUUGAAUCAGAAUAAGAGAGUGUCCAAGAAGAGCUCAAAGAUCUCUCAUAAUGGUGAGUUGAAAGGAAGCACUUUGAAUGAAAAGACAAAAAUCUCAAAUGUUAAACAAAUUUGGGUGAAAAAGAAUGAGUUGAAGUGUUUCGUUGUCCAUACCGCACUUAAAGCUAUUGAGUCACACUCAUGGUAUCUUGAUAGUGGAUGUUCACAUCAUAUGACUGGAAAUAAAUCUUUGUUCACUUCAUUCACUGAAUUUGAUGGAGGAAAUGUGACAUUUGGAGAUGGUAAUAUGGCUAGAGUGAAAGGCAAAGGUACCAUUUGUGCCCCCAACAUUCCUAAUCUUGAAGAGGUCUUAUAUGUUGAAGGUUUAAAGGCUAACUUAAUUAGCAUAAGCCAAAUGUGUGAGAAUGAGUUCAAUGUCCAAUUUUCACAAAAUCUUUGCAAGGUGUUUGACUUGAAUGAUUUUUGUGUGAUGAUUGGCUUGAGAACUUGUGAUAAUUGUUAUGUUGUUAGUCAAAAGUCUCCUUCAUCAUCUUCUCUUGUGUGUGGAAGUUCUAAAAUUGCAUGUGUUAAUCACUUGUUGGAACAUAGAUUGUUGCAAAAUGAAAAAGAACAUCCCAUUGUAAAAGUUAGGAUUGAUAGGGGGAGAAAAUUUGAUGAUGCCAAUGUUGUUGAUAGGUUAAAGAACCAUGUUCUUCAUUCUAGAUCAAAACAUGUGGACAUUAAGCAUCACUUCAUUCAAGACUUGGUAGAAGACAAGAUUGUUUCACUAGAGUUUUUCCUUAUGGAGGGUCAAAUUGCUAACAAUGUUACUAAACCUUUGGAUGUUUCUAGGUUUGAAUCACUUAGGAGCCCCAUAGGUUUAUAUACUCUCUAUUAACUACCUCUAGAACUUGUCUAGGACUUUCUUCUUGAAUAUCUUUGAGUCCUAGGUGUCUUCUCAAGUUCCAAAGUGUCCUUGUGGUGGUGUUCUUUUUGUUUUGGUUCAAUCUUUUCUUCAUUUUUCAUAAAUUUUCAACAUUUGCUGAGUUCAUGAGAGUGACAUGCUUACAUUUUUGUUUAAAAGUUAAAUUGACUCAUAAUGAUCUUAAAAGCUUCAAGAUGUCUUUAUCUCCAUGGCUUGAUUGAUAAACAUGAUGUUGAAUCCUUGCUAUUUUGAUUUGAUUAGAUAAACCACAAAAGGUUAGUUUCAUUUCUUUUAAGUGAGUAAUAGCUCAUGGUUGAACCUUGUGAUUACAUAAAUGGUGAGUAAUGCUUUUUGUAGUCUAAAUGCAAAUUUAUGUUUAUCUAAUGAGCAUUAAAAAGUGAGUAAAGUCACCCGGAAUAUCCUUGAGUGUUUUAAGAUUAUUCUUCCUUGAUUGUUUGCCCUCUCUUUGAAAUUAAAAAAAAAAAAAAAAAAAAAAAGGAAAAGAAAAAAUAUAUAUAUAUUAAGCUUCCCGGAAUGGUUAUGGCUCCUUGGCAAUGUUUCAAGAGUUAAAAAGCCUCCUUUGCAAGAGUGGGACAUCCCUUAUGUUGUUAUGUUGUAAAGGCCACCUUAGUGAUCGUCAAGUAAAAAAAAAAAAAAAAAAUUGAUCCUAAGGGUGAAGCUCAUGUUCGUGUAAUAAUUUCAAUGCUCAAUGUGAAAAACAAAUGAUGUAUGAAUUUUUUUUUGGGAUGUGAAUAGGCCGUGUUAAACAAAAAUCCGGCCAAGAGAGGUGCAAAUUGACUUCUUGGAACAUUAUCUUGAAUUUCUCUAGGAAGGAAGUGUGUCUUGAAAAUGAUUUUUCACUUUAUGGGUGGAUAUAGGUUUACAAGUGGAAAGAAAUUAACAUUCUCACUAUUUUAUGGUGUCAUGAGUAAGUCUUCUUUGAGUUUAAGCUUCCUUGUUAGAAUGUUGAUAAUCAUUUGUUUUUUAUCUAUUCAUUUGAUAAAUUUGGAAGGUUCUUCAAUCUUUAUGUUUAUUAAUUUUGUCUAAAGUUAAGCUCUUAGUAGCAUCCUUGUUCAAUAUGAAUCAAUUCUAACUCCUUGAUUGAAAGACAAGUAUGUCAUUCUAUUGUAUUUUAGCUUUGGUGAAUCAAAUUUUCAAUUUUUGAAAAGCUUGUUGGAGUAUUUCUUGUGUCUUAUCGUCAGUUUUUUUGUCUAAGUCUUUUUUCAGUAGGGUGUCGAUCGAUCUGCUGAAUUUGUGGAUCGAUCCACUGUGUGCACAGUCUUGUGACCGAGAGCCCUUGAACGAAUUGAGGAUCGAUCCACCAAGAUCGAUACCACUUGCUCCAACACUUAGAAAUUUUCGUGAAAAGUUUCCUGCACAGUUUUUUCCACUGAGAGCUCUUGAACGAAACUUGGAUCGAUCCACCAAGAUCGAUACCACUUAUCUCUUAAAAAAAAAAAAAAAAAAAAAAUUCCUGUUUUGUCCUUGGUCUUGUGUGUUUUUUAAAAGAGGAUAUGAGGGGUAAAAUUGUCAUUCCGUAAAAAAAAAAAAAAAAAUCAAAAUCCCCAAUUUUUAAAAACCCCUCUUCCAUUCUCAAUUGAGCCCUAAUUUCAAAAUCUUUCAAAAUGGGUCUUCAUCUUCUUCUUCUUUUCUUCUUCAUUGCAUAAGCUUCCACCACCAUGGUUGCUGAAAUUUAUUUCUGAUGAAGUCCUCCUCCGUCAUCAUUCUUUUCAACAUUGGAAAUCUCUACAUCAAUGUUUCAUUGGCGCCAUUUCUUUUUCGGAGUGGCUCAUUCACGGGUUUCUUAGCUUAAGCUAUCUUUUUCGGGAACCUUGGGUGUUCGGUUUGUCCAUCUUUCUCUCCACCAUUAGCUUAAUCUAGAUGUUUUCUUUGUGUGGAAUCCUUUCACAACAGUUUUUUUUUUGGAGUUUCAUUUUUGCCUUGGAUUGUUUUUGCUUUCUAGCAAUGUUAAUCCUAGGCUUUGUUUGCUCAUUGUGAGUGCCCUCUAUACAUUUUCAUGCUUGGAAUCUAUUUUCAUGGUGAUAAAGCAUUUUUUCGAAGUUUUUAAAUGAAACCAUGUGAUGAGAUUUAGGGGGAGUUUCGUAUAUCUUAUGAUGGGAGUUAGGGGGAGAUUCUUGUAUCCUAUAUUUUUUUUGGGAUGUUGAUAUGGAUACUUGGUAAUAUGUGAAUACUUGAUUUUUGAGUAUUUGACAUUUUGUUGAAAUGUGGAUGUUUGUUGAUUUGGAUGUAAGAUAUUUUGCUAAUUGAAUUGUCAUCCAUUUGUCUUUUUUCUUGGAUAGAAAGGGGGAGAUUGUGGCCCUUUGUCUCUUUCUGGGACAAAAAGGGGGAGAGACAUUGUAGUUAUUAUUUUGGUGAUUGGAUAUAUGUGGAUAUCUAUGUGUUAAUUCAUUCAAAUCUUGUGGAAGUGCCUUAGAAUAUGUACAGGUGCUACUAAUGUUUUUCUUGAGAUUUUUUUUGCAGGUAUUGUAGUACCUAGGUUGUGGUUUUGAGUGAGUGAGGGGUCUUGUAUGAGAGUUGGGUGGGGUUUACUUACUUGUACUCAUUCGUGUUGUAAAGGGUUUUGUCCCAGAAUUGCCAAAGGGGGAGAUUGUGAGUGUUUAGCUAGGUUGGCAAUUCAGGACAAAAUUCCUAAGUGUCUCCUAACUCGGCUUUCCUAUUCCUAUUCGGACUACUUGACUUUGAAGACUAAGACUUUGCUAAGAGGCCAAGGUAUGUAGUCGAGUGUGGAGUGAUUGGGUGUGAAUCAACCCGGUUUUUAAUCUUUAAAUGUGUUAGAAAGUUGGGAAAAAUGGUUUUUGGUGCAAGGCUUUUAUUCCUCUGUUUCUGGAUCGAUCCAGGUGUAGGGGUGGAUCUAUCCAACUAAUGUUUUUUUGAUCAAAUCUCAGCCAUUAGAUUAAGGGUUUCUUUUUACACUUUAAAACCCAAUCUUCUCUCAUUUUCUGAGUUGAGAGACUGCUGAAAACGUGGGGAGAGCAGCCACACUCCCAAGUGUUCUUCAUUUCUCAUUUUUGCUUUCCUAAGUUGGGGUUUUUGAUUGCAAAGAAAAUCCACUUCUCUUAAUGUUUUCAAAACUAGUUUUCAAUGGAUUUUCUUGAGCAAUAAAGGGGUUGAUUCAUUUCUUCAUUCACAUCUAAAUCUCUCAUUCUAUUUGGGUUGUGCAAAAACCCAUUUUCUUCUUGUGUUGAUUCAAGAAGAGGCCGAGAUUGAGCUUGGUGCGGACUCCAAGUGUGCUCCAACAGGAGAAGCUGAAAAUGAAGGUACUAGUCAAGUAUUCCGGGAAGGAUUGGUUGGCUUGAGCUAGGUAAAACCUUGUACUCAGUUUUUAUUCUUCAUAGUGGAGUUUUCAAUCGGUGAUAGGCCCGUGGUUUUUUAUCUCUUCGGAGGUUUUCCACGUUAAAAAUCCGGUGUUCAUUGUCUCUUUCUCUCACUCUAUAUUUUGAUUUAUUUUUGAGGAGUGUUGAAGCAUUUGCAUGUGUUUUGCAUUUAUAAAUUGUUGGGAGAGUGUUGAUGCAUACAUUAUUGCUUGUGGAUGUUUUGCUUUGUUGAAAAGUUAUUGGAAGAAAAUUUUCUUGACAUUAAGAUAGUCUAAGGUUAGGUAAUCUUUGUUGGGAGAAUUUUUAAAUUGUUCUACAACACCUAUUCACCCCCCUCUAGGUGUAGUUCAUUAUUGAGAUUCACAUUUUCACAUAAAUAUAAGCAUAUUAAUAUAUUAAAUUUUAGUAAAUAGAAGAGGUAUAAUAUUUAAAUAAAAAAAAUUAUAAUGUUUAAUUUUAUUUAUAUAUCUAUAUAUUUUAUUAUUUUAAAAUUAUUAAACAUUUAUAUUUGUUUCAAUGUUUCAUAUUAUUAAAAUAUGGAAACAACAUUAAUACAAUAUGUAACAAUAUAUUAAUCAUAGGGAUUGUGUAGUAUAGUAAUUGUCUCUUCAUUUUAAGAACCACAUGACCCUGAUUGAAUAUAAUUUACUUUCGGAUUUUAAAUAUUUAUAUUAAAAUUUUUUUUUACUUAUUAUUUAUUAUUAAAUAGAAGAACACAAGAUAUUUGGUUUUUUACUCAAUGGUAAAAAUAACUUUUUAAGACAACAAAAACAUAAUCUCAAUAUGACUUUUAUUCUAUUAAUACUUAAUAUUUAACAUAAAUAAAAUAAUUAUAAAUAAAUAACUUAAUAUUUAAUAUUAUUAAGUUGCAUUUAAAAUUAACUUAAAUUAGGUUAUAUUACUCUGCUUGAUAUCCAAGCAGUAACGAUUAACAUGAGGCUCUGAUUUCUAACAUAAUCUGAGCCACAUAAACUAAUGUCUGGAAGAUAAGAGAAGCGAGUGCAAUAUAUUUUGGCAUGAAGAUGCCCCACAAUCUUUGGAUACUGGUUUUGGAAAUGAAUAAGGGCCUUAUAUUAUGAGAAAAAUAACAAUGGACACAAUUUUUAAAAAAUAAUUUAAAUGUAAUUAAAUAUAUUUUUAUAAAUAAUAUUUUAAUUAUUUAUAAAAUAUAUUUAUUUUAAUGUAAUUAAAUAAUUUAAAAAUAAAAUUUAAAAAAUGUUAAAUGAGAGAGAGAGACGGUUAUGAAAAAUUCUUAUACUUGCCUUGCUCAAUCUAAUCCCAUCUUAUUUAAUUUUUUUAAUGGGAUAAAAAUAAUAAUUAUUUUGAAUAAACAAGACAAGGUUGAGAUAAGGACAACCUGUCCAAAAAACCUCCAAUUUUGUCAUCCUUACUAAUGAGGAAAAUUUUACAACCAAGGAUAUUCAAAUUAAAGUAAAAGAAAAAUUCUCAUAAAGAUCAACAUCAAUUUUGAGAAAUACUACUAGUCCCCGAUAUUUAGGUAUGUCCGAAGAUAUUGAUAAAAUGAGGGUCAACCACCUUUCAUAGAAUAAAUUUGAGUUGUUUUUAGUUACUUGUUUUUAUAAAUUGUUAUAAAUAAUAAUUAAAAAUACAAAAAAUAUUUUAAAAAUAUUUACAUGGUACAAAAGUGUAUAAUAUUGUACACAAUUUUUCAUAUUUAAAUUUUUGGAUAAAAUUUUAUUUGUAAACAUAAUUAAAAACUAUUUUUUAGGACGUAAAUAUUUUUUAUUUUAAAACCUAAUAUGGCCAUUCAUGUAACCUCCAGUGCCUUGCAGAGAUCAGGUGGGAUUAGCUAUAGCCGUUGGGUCAGACACAUCCAAGUCCAACAAUAAAAGGGUACAUUAAUUAAAUCAUUCUAGCAUUAAGAUUAUUUGACACUAAAUGGUUCUGUGAUUUGAGGGUUAAAACCCAAUAUGAUAAUUUGAUCCCAUUUAAGGAUCAUGAGCUUAGAUGAAAUUGUCAAAAUCCGAUCCAAGAUGUACUAUUUUUAUUAUAUUUUAUUUUUCUCAGGGCUCCAAGGCUGUUCCUAGUAGGGAUGGCAAUGGGGCGGGUCAUUUCGGGUACCCACCCCGCCCCGCCCCUAAUGGGGUGGGAUAUUAUUUUUCUAAACGGGUAUGGGACGGGUUUGGGAUUUUUUUUUAAACCCGGGGCGGGUUCG